rnacentral:lncRNA from 1 species
AGGGUUUUGUCAAUCUGAAGCAUCCAAAUAGAGUGUGUAAGCUUGAGAAGUCCAUUUAUGGACUUAAGCAAGCGUCUCGCAGAUGGAAUCUUUGCUUCGAUGAGAAAGUCAAAGAGUUUGGAUUUGUACGAAGCGAAGAUGAAUCAUGUGUAUAUGUCAAAGCCAGUGGGAGUAUAGUAAGCUUCCUCGUUCUAUAUGUCGAUGACAUAUUACUCAUAGGAAACGACAUCCCGACUCUGCAGGAGGUUAAGUCCUGGCUCGGGAAGUGCUUCGCUAUGAAGGACCUCGGAGAGGCUUCUUACAUUUUGGGAAUAAGGAUAGUAAGAGAAAGAAGUAAGAGACUAAUUGGACUUAGUCAAAAUACUUACUUAGAGAAGGUACUAAAACGUUUUAGUAUGGAAAACUCAAAGAAGGGAGAAUUACCGAUACAAAGCAAUGCUAAGUUGAGUAAGACUCAAAGUCCGAGUACCGAAGCUGAAAUAGCAGAAAUGAGACGAGUUCCAUACGCUUCCACAGUUGGCUCAAUCAUAUAUGCUAUGACUUUUACUUGCCCUGAUGUAACCUUUGCUUUGAGCAUGGUUAGUAGAUAUCAACGGAACCCUGGCAGAGCCCAUUAGAUUGCGGUCAAGAAUAUCCUUCAGUACCUUCGGAGGAUGAAGGAAUGGUUCUUAGUCCUCGGAGGGAGUGAUGACUUGAAGGUGCGAGGGUAUAGUGACGCCAGCUUUCAGACCGACAGGGACAACUACCGUUCGCAGUCGGGCUGGGUCUUUACCCUAAAUGGAGGAGCAGUAACAUGGAAGAGUUCCAAGCAGGAAACCGUAGCUGAUUCAACGUGCGAAUCAGAGUACAUUGCAGCGAGCGAAGCGUCGAAGGAGGCAAUAUGGCUAAAGAACUUCAUCGGUGAUCUUGGAGUUGUACCUGCCAUAAAAGAGCCAAUGGAGAUUUUCUGUGAUAACGAAGGCGCGGUUGCCUUGACCAAGGAACCGAGGGAUCAUGGUAGAUCAAGACAUAUCGACAGAAAAUAUCACUUCAUCAGACAUCGUGUAGAAGAAGGACAACUCGUAGUGAAGAGGAUAUCAUCAGAAGAUAACCCAGCAGAUCCGCUUACGAAGGGACUGAGUAGGGUUAAGCACUUGCAGCAUGCUAGGAGUAUUGGGCUGAAGGAUGAUAUUAGCAUAGAUUAGAUAGUAUUAGAAACGUGUAAUAGAUAAAUGUAAUUAACAUUUGAUGAUUAAAUAAAGGAGUUUUAUUUAUGAGUAAUGUUACUAUCUUAUGUUAAUUGUUUAGCUAUUGUUUCACUUUGCAUGUUUUGACUUCCAGAAUAAUUGAGUUUAUUAGGAAUAAUCGAAUUGUUCAAAUUGUCCACAAUCGUUCAUAUGUUGGAAGUAGAUAUGAAUGAAGAUUGUCAUGAAUUGGUGUGUAGAUUGUCUAAAUGGUGUUAGACAUAGCAAAGGGUUGCUGCAACGUUCAUGAGUGCUUAUGAACUAGUUUUGAGCAUUGGAACAAACCCGCGCUUGCUGGAAUCACCUUAUGGAAUAUGAUAUAAAAGGUGAUCGCAAGACGAUAAUAUCAUAUAGUCUUAAAACCUAGAUAUAUGGUUUAUUAUUUGUUAAUUGAUUGUACAUUGAUAAUACGAAAACGCAUCAGUAACUUGGUGUUAUAAAACGUAUUGUUGUGUAUAGUUGGUUAAUGAAUAAGUAAAUGCAUAUAAGUCGAAGUUUAUCUGUUACUUUUAUCCUAAGAGGGUAAAAGCGAUAUCUCGGCCGCUCGAUGAUUUGAUUUGACUUAUGUGCCGGGCCCGGUCAGAACUGAAUUGAUGUGUUCGAUUAAGUUCUAUGUCAAAUAAAUCGGAGAUCGAGAAACCAAAUGCUAGACAAAUUGGUUCCAUAGAAUUGUUAGCAUGAUAUCUAAACAGAGGACUGUACGAUCCCUUAUCUGAAGGACAAGAUUGAUUAGAUCAGAGUUUGACAGCGUCUAUGAGAGCUACCAUAGCUAAUCGGAUUAUACUUGUGUAUAUAGUUACUAGACAUAUCCAAGUGGGAGACUGUUGGAAUAGUGUCUAAGGCUGCAACUAUAUUAGGCAAGUAUUUGACCCGGUUGUGCAUGGUCCUUUUGGGUUGCCUUCACCAUAGCAACUUGACAGGAUGAUUUAUUAUGAGAGAAGAAAUAUUAUUAAUAUAUUAUGAGAAUAAUAUAAGGAAUAAUAAUAUUAUUCUUUGAUUAAUAUAAGUCAUAAAUUAAUUAGGAAUUAAUUUGGUGACUUAGAGAUUAAUUGAAUAAAGGGGCAUAAACUGUCAAUUGUAUGGUAAAUGUACUUUGGGCUAUAAAUCCCUUAUGGAUAAAGGGGGACGGUUUUAAGGACUAUGGAUAGGCCUUGAAAUCGUCUAAAGGCUUAUCAAUUAGGGUAUUGGAUUGCUUAGGGCCUAAGUUAUCCAAUUAGGGUUUAAGGGUGAAACCCUAGGAGCCUUACUAGUAUAAAUAGACCCAUGGGGUCAAGGAAAUCGNAUCCCCUCUCCUCUCUCUCAAAUCAUCCUCUUGCUAGUUGGUGUUUGUAAGCCAUUAGAGGAGUGACAAUUGUGACUCUAAAGCUCUAAGGACAAGAAGAUCAAGCAAGUGAUUCAAGGUAAACUUCUAAUUCUGAUUUCUUAUUGUUAUUAUACUCUAUUAGGCAUUAGAAGUCUUGGAUUCAAUGUAUGUUCAAUUAGAGAAACCUAGAUCCAAGCAUUAGGGUUUGCAUGCGCACAUAGCAAUGUUUAUAUGGCUAAAACCCAUCAUAUUAAGGGUACCAAGUCAAUUUGCAUGGUUAUUCACAUCUUUUUUGUGAUCCUCGACAUCCUAGUCACAAACUUGACAGGGCACAAUCGAGAUUUAAACAUGCCAUUGAAUAGUUCAAUGAAUCUCAAAAGAUCUAGGAGUUUCAGAUUCACUUAAGACCUAAAAUUCUUUUUCGUUUUUCGUGGUGGAAAUUUGUAAAUCGUCAUUUACCUACCUUCAAAUAUUUUAUAGCUUGGAUUAUGACAUCCCUCUUCCAAGUUAUAAAACAUUGUGUUGGGUCCUAGCCUUAAUAUUUCAUAUUGGGUGUUAUAUUAAGGAUUUAAAUCAACUAACUUGAAUUUCUCCCAUUGUCGAUAUCUGGUUAAGACAAUUAUGAUCUUCCCAAAUCCCUUGAAACAAGCUUUCCUGAUGAAGAUGAUGUCCCGCGAUUGGAUCAUGAAAAUCAUACUUCUUUUCCUCCACUUUCUCCAAUUAUUCUCCCUAUCCCAGAAGUUCACGGUCACUCAAUCUCUAUUGGCAAGAAGUGUCUAUGUGUACUCACAUCUUGGAGAUUAAGUCACAUAUUGAAAAUCCGGGAGAGUUGGGUGUCAAAGUCUUGAGGAAGUUGGUUGUUGACUAGGUCCUUUAAUCACUUCCUAAGUCACAUAGUGAGUUCCUUUAAGACUACUAUAUGACAGACCAUGACAUGACCCUUAAUAAUCUUCCCUAUUUGCUUGUUGUUGCUGAAUCAGCAAUGAUUUGGAGCACUGGUAAAACCAAUUUGAUUGGAAGAUCUACUUCCUAAACCUAUAUGGACAUGGACAAUGGUAACAUUAGAAAUCCAGAAAAGUUUUCUCUUCCCAAUGGAAAGGGAUCGACCAUAGUCAAACCGGUUGACCAAAUGGUAAAGAGAAAGUCUAAGUCUAAGAUAGUCUCGUGUACCAUUACUAAAGAGUCCAUAUGUUUCUAUUGCCAAAGGAUGGGACAUUGGUUGCGAAGAUGCCUUAUUUACCUGAAAGAUCAUAAAGAUCGUAAAGUCAAAGUGUUUGACCAUGCUUCAGAUAAAGUCCACUACCUAACUCUAUUAAGUUCUUAUUUGGAGAUUCUUAUUACAAGAUGUGACUAGGUCACAUUUUGAUGUUUUCUAGAAUCAAAGAAAAGAGAGGAAGCUUAAAGGAAGAGUAAGUUGAUUUUGAUCACGAAGAGAUGGAUUUCGAUCGCAUGGUUCGAUUAUCAGAAUUUUAGCUGUUGCUUAAAGAGUUGUGAUAGAUUGCUUAGGAAUUCAUAACAACAUAGUUUUUCAUAUGCAUUUUCAUUGUAAAGAAAAUUUUUUACGCAAGUUUUAAAAUAAAAGAAAAUUUUUGAUUUUAUAUAUUUUAAUUAACCUUACAAUGGCAUUUGUGAAAAAUUGUUGUUUAUAUGUUUCCAUUGAAAGCAAUAUUGGAAAAUAGAUUUGAUUCUUUCAUUUGUGGUAGUGUCAUAAUUUACCAAAUAAGGAACGAUUCUCAUCACACAAGUUUUAGUUGGAUAGAAACUUGAAAUCAUGCAACUUGUAUUGUAUGAUGAAUGAGAAUUUUCAUUUUUGGGAAAUUAAGACUAUUUCCUUGUGCACAUANNNNAGGAUAUAUAUAUAUAUAUAUGUAUAUAUAUAUAUAUAUAUAUAUAUAUAUAUAUAUAUGUGAGUCAAGUGAAGGACUAGGAGAUCAGGUACACUUGGUUGUGCGCUGGUCAGGUCCACCAUAAAGAUCAAUUAGGCUAUUUGUCAUGAUUUACUAAAUUUUAGUGAAUAUGGUUAUACUUACAAGUUUAAGUGUAAUUCUGGUACAUUGGAAAAGUUUCAAUGUAAGGCAGAACGAAUAAGAAGAAUCAAAUUAGGUAGAAAGAUAAAAGUUGCUCCAAUCUGAAAAGAUGGGAGAGUACUUGAGUAUCUUGUUUUAUGAUUAUCUUAGUGAUUAUGAAACCAUAUCACAAUGGAUUCUCUAAGGACAUCUUAGUGCAUUUGUUUGAAUAACAAGACGAAUCGUGAUUUUUUGAAUUGGUUAAAUAAAAAAGAUAAGUCAUACUUCGUUCCAAAAUUGAGUCUUAGAGUAAUACUCCAAGUUUGUAACUAGAGUGACAUAAUCUUGAGAAUGUUUAUAACACUUGUCAAAUGUAGAGUAAAAUGUUUUCAUACUUUUGUACAAUUGAAAUUGGCAAGUUGUGAUCUAAGACAAAGACCAACUGUGACCAAUUGUGUGAAGUGUUUGUCUUGAUAAAGAAUCCGCACUAACUCAUGAAUAUUUGUUUGUCACGGAACGAUUCUUGACAAGAGAGUCUUAUAUGUCAAGAGGACAGUGAGAGUCUUACAGGUCUUAAAAGUCUCAAAAACUAAUCAAGGUUGAAACCUAUUGCUUAUCACCAACACACAACUUGAGGUUUGCAACCUAUCGUGUUGACACAUUCUUGUUUUUGUGCCCAUUCGAGUUAAAGUUUAUUAUACAUAUGAGUUCUAUGAGUUCUCUAUUGUUUUCAUAACAACCUAGAAGCAAUGGUAGGCCCUUGUGCUGCCAGGUGGCAAGAAGUUAAGACUACACAAGUUCAGUCCAUAUGAGUUUGGAUUUGUCACUAACCUUGUCUUGUUAUUAUGGUUAUGACAAAUUUACAUGGAUAGGAACACAUACACCAUAAAAUCUAAGUGUCAUAAGGUUUCUCUCUGAUUCAUGAAAAUGAUGGUGAGGAAACGCUUUCACUAAGUAGAUAGCAAUUAUGAUAUUUUCAUUCUCAAAGUCGUUAGUGGAGCGUGUAUGGUUAACCAGCACAUUAACAUGGACUUUUAAGAAAUUAGAAAGGUCUAAACAAUUGAGACUAUGAUUACAGCAUCCCUUUGCACAGCUCUAAAAAUUGUUUAGACACACGUGUCAGCUAUCGAAGGAAAGGUGUAUGAUUUUGAUAAAGUUUUAUCAAAUCAUCUCGUAUCAGAAAUCUGAAGUUUGGUAAGAAAGUCAAUAAAGUAUUAAUUUCUAGAAGUCCAACUGAUUUUUGGANUACAUGUCAGGCUAGUGGGAGCAUAAGUGUUAUGCUAGUAGGAUAAUAAUUAUUAUGCUAGUGGGAGCAUAAUUAGUUAUAGUAAAUAUUGCAAGUGAGCAAUGUUAAUUAUAGAAAACAAAAAUUUAAUUCGUGAAGUUGCAAGGGUUGAAAAGGUUGUUUUGCUAUAAUUAAGGGAGAGGAAACUAUACUUCAGUUCAAUUCUAAAAGCUUAGAUUGUCAGAUUUUGAUCAAAUUUAGUCAUGAUUACAUUAUUAGCGUUCUAAAAUUCGAUUAUGAUUACGACAUCCUUUUUCAUAUUCUGUAUUAUGAGAACAUGACAAAUAGAAAUAGAAAUAUUAUAGCAAAAGAAUGGUAUAGUAUCAUGUGUUAAUGUGAGACAUCAUGAAUCGUGUCCCAUAUGCUUCGGAAAUAGGAUCGAUUACAUGUGCUGUAAUAUUCAUCUGUUCAAAAUUUUUCCAAAUGCCUAGGGCAUUAAGAGGGAAAAAGUACUAGAACUGGAUAUGACUAAAAUGAUUAAGAAAUUGUCGAGGACAAUCUGAGGUUUACCAAAGAUUGGUUGCUCAUGGACAAUUGGAAGUAUAAUGUUAAUUUUGGCAAGACAAUACUUACAUAUUCUGAAAGGAGGCAACUCUUGUUCAGAAGUGAUAGUCAAAAUGGAAUGUGGAAAUGCUUUCAUAGGUGGAAGUUAUUCUUUAAAUCUGUGUAAGAUUAGAAAACUUAAUGCAAGAAGGAUGUUCAAAGGAAUGUACUUUGAAUUAGAGACCUCGUUUCCUUGGAUUUGCUCUCUAUUGGAAUGCUUUGUGAUGUCUGUUGCCAAGUCUUUGUGACUUUUAUGCAAAGUCAUUACAAGAGGAUCAUUGCAUAUAAGUUUAGAAUAUAAGAAAUUACAGUAAAUGGAAAUAUUUUGGUAUUUUUACAUUUGUAGGAAGGAUUUGGGAUUGUAAAUUAAGCAUCAUUGAAAUUAUGUUCAAUUGGUCUAUUUCACAAAGUAAGGAUCAUAGACAAACAUAGUGUGCAUACUUGGAGUAUGACAUAGCUAUUGUUUGGACAAACAUAGUGUGCAUGCUUGGAGCAUGACAUGACUAUUGUUUUAAAUCAAGUAUUAGGUUGAUAAAUCUAAACAUUAUACAAUGAAUAAUGUGUAAUCAAUAUGGUGAUAAAUAAAAGGCGUUUUAUUUAUAUUCAUAAGUUCUAAGACCUUAUUUGAUUCGAUUAUUCUUGUGUUUCAAUUUGCAUGUUUUGACUUCCAGAAUUACUAGGUUAUUCUUCCCGAAUGACUAAGUUAUUCAAACCAUUCACAGUCGAUAAUACGUUAGAAGUAGGUAUUAAGGCAAGUCUGUCAUGAAUUGGGUUUGUAGAUGUCUAAAGUGUUUAAACAUAGCAAAAGUUGUUGCAACAUUCAUGAGUGCUCCUAGAAUGAGAUUCGAGUAAUGGAUUAAACCCAUGCUCAUUUGACUCACUUCAUUGAUUUUAUCACGAGUGAUCAUGAGAUGAUAAUAUCUUGUAUUCUUCAAACCAAGAGAUAUGAGUUGCAGUCUACAAGUUGGUUACACAUUGAUUAUGUGAAAAAGCAGGCAGUAACUUGGUGUUAUAAAACACAUUUUUGUGUGUGAUUUGGUGCGUAUAUAGAGCAAGAAUAUAAGUCGAAGUUUAUCAAUUCCUUAUACCCUUGGAGGGAUAAAAGCAAUAUAUGUGGGCCCCUCGAUGAUUUAGUGAUGGAAAACGUAAGUGCUCGGCCAGGCCUGAACUAAUUUGAUUUGUUCAAUUAGUCAGUCGUCAUAAAUCGGAAAUCGGGAAACAACAAAUGGACAGAGAGAAUGAUUAUAAUCCAUGUCUCAGUCCAUAUGAUAUUUAGAAUAGAGGAAUAUAUGAUCCCUUAUCUAAUGGACAAGUCAUUGACUAGGUCUGAGUUCGAUAAUAGUUUUUAAGAGCUACGAUUGCUAGUCGGGUUUUGGAGUCAUACUUGCAAUAAUAGUUUUAGACUUAUCCAAGUGGGAGACUGUUGGAUUAGAUGUCUACGCCCAUAACUAUUAUUGGUAUGUACUCGACCCGAGAGUAGCAUGGUCCAUUUGGGUUGCAUAACACCAGGACAAUUUCUUAGGAUGGACUCUUGAGAGAAGGUUAUAUAUGAUUUAUUAAUAUAUUAUAAGUUCUAAUAUAUAAAUAUGAAAUCAUAUGUUUUAAUUAGUAUUGGUUAAGAAUUAAUUUGGAAUUAAUUUAGUAAUCAAAAGGAGACUAAUUAAAUCUAUGGGGAUUAAUUAUGGUAAUUAGUUAUAUUUAUAUGGGUUGGGCUUAUGAUCCAUGUUGGACCAAGUUUGUAUAUGGAUACACAAAGAGUUGGGCCACAUAAACCAUGGAUCAUAAAACCCAUGGGUAUGGAUUUGGGUUAUACCCAUGACCCUUGAAAUCCCACAUAUAAAUAUGUAGUGCAUUGCCCAAAAAUGCCACUUUUAGUUCAAAGGUUGGAUCAUAUUAUCCACCAACCUAUAAUACCCCAGCUUGAACGACAAACGUCUUGAGACCAUUCUACGAACUUACUUCUACUCUUUAGUAGGACUGCAUCAUAGGGAUGUAGGUCGAACCCAUGAGAAAAUAUUCCUAUUCUUUACAUGAACGAUCGAAGUACAUCUAGGUUCAACCAUACUCACUCACAAAUUCAUUUUCUUUCCGUGUAACAGAAUCAUGUCGCCGAAGAAAAGUGAUCAACCCAUCAACCAAACACCAACUCUUCAGAUUGAUGCAGCUACCUUUGAUGUUGCAGUAUCAGUUGUCGUGACAGCUGUUCUGACUCACCUUAACGCUCACAAUGCGAAUGUUAGCGGGAUUGUUAACAAUAAUUCCAAUCCAAGUAACAAUCAAGUACCUCAACGAGUAACAAACUACCACGACACCCCGAAUCUCAAGCCCAAGAAUAAUAAACGAAAGUUCUAGGCUAAAUUUAAAGGCAAAUCACCCCACGGGGAGAGCAAAAGACAACAACAUGUGGCAGCCUUCGCAGCCACGGCAUUUUUACCUCCUACUACCAUCCCUUCUGGUAUCCCAAUUGCCCCUAACCCAGCCAAACAGUAUGCCGGAAACCUACCGAAAUGCAAUAAAUGCAGCUUUCGUCAUCUAGGUAGUUGUCGUCUGUUACACUGCUAUAAAUGCAACAAGAACGGACAUACUACCAGCUACUGCAGGACUCGGAUCCAACACAUUACUUCAACCACCAAUGUCGAAAUCUCUCGAAUAUGCCAUCUAUGUGGCGUAAUGGGACACUUCAAGAGGGACUGCCCAACAGAGAAGAACGACGGUGGAACAGGAGGAGUUUGACCUCAUAAUGGAAAAAGGAAAUGAAGGACCCUACUAUAGUAUAGGUUCACUUCAAAUCGUCAGUAUUAAGUAUGCUUUUAGAUUGUUUAAAACUAGUUCAAUUCGAGUCUUAUCUUUUGCAAGAUCCCGUCAGUAAAGGGACCCUCGUGUUGCGUAUACUUGCCUUUUGUAGUAUACCUUGUUCGCAGCAAUAGUCUUGUAGUAAAUCUCAAGUACUGUAACUCUGUUAAAAGUUGCACUGUUAUGUUUUGUCUAUAACGCCUUUAUGUUCAAAAUCUAAUGUCUUUACUUCCAAGUAAGUCCGAUAUUAUCAUACAACUUGAGUCAAUUCGAUCCGCACAAUACCAGUAUCGUGCACACAUCUCUUUCUCCGGAAUCGCCUUUCUAGCGAAACCAUCAUUCCAGAUCACCGAAGUACUCAUGCAUAGAGUACCUCAUAUUUCUUAUCCUUUCCGAAGAAAACUCAGCAAACCUCCCCGGAGUACCACUCGUACAGUACGUCAGUUCAAACCAAGGACCUUUACGGUUGAUCUAUCACUAAAGAAUGUAUACACAGGGGUGGUAUAUAAUCAAGGUUCUACAGGUUUAGAAUUGAUGAUUCCACUUUAACUUAUUUUCCUCGUUGGGAUGUGAUCUUAAAGAAGAAUCAUUUAUUCGACUACCUUUUCAAUCUUAAUUAUAUACGACUCGUAUACACGAGACGGUGAUUGAUGAACCAUGUAUGACUUCUAAUAUGAACUUCAGGAUGAAGACUGUCCAAGACUACGAGUAAUCGCAUUGCCAUGCAAACGAACUUAGAACCCAAUACGGCUCCUGUAACCAGAUCGCCCUACGGUCUAACGCCCACGGAGAUAUAAGAACCAUCCGGACCACUUAACGGCCUACUCAUCAAUGGACUGAAAAGACCAAGCUUCCCACCCUGGAGAGCUCCGAUCUUGUUCUUUAAGAUGAAAGACAAAUUGUUUCGUAGGUCCAUCGACUUUAGAGACCUCGAAAAGAUUUCCAUUAGAAAUCAUUACCCUCUGGCUCGCAUAGAAGAAUUGGUUGACCAACCGCAAGGAACUAUUUACCUUUCAAAAAUAGACCUGAGAUUCGAAUAUCACCAGUUACGUGUGUUAAUGAAGGAUGCCCCGAUGACAAUAUUCCAAACUCGAUACGGACACUACGAGCCCGUAGUGAUACCCCUCGGAUAAGACCAAUAUGGCCGUAGUAUUCAUGAACUUAAAUGAAUAGGGUACGACAUUCUUACAUGGAUCAGUUUGUCAUCCUCCUUAUAGAGGACCUACUUAUCUACUCACGUAGUAAGAAAGAGCAAAGAAACAUCAACAACUCAACUUACCCCGCGAAAUCAGUAACGUACAUUUUACCUUUCACAUCUCGAACUUGAAAGUGUACCUUUUCGUCAGGACUCUUGUAAUCCCACUCGACGAGAUCGAGAUCAACAAGAACCUCACCUUCGUGAAAGAACCGUAGUGACCAUGGACCGAGAGGUCAGGCGAACAAAGCAAAGAUGCUUCCUAUUAGUAAAGGUUCACUGGAAUGCCAACCGAGGACCUGAAUUCACUUGGGAGCAUGAGAAUCAAUCGAUUAGGAAGUAUCCCCACUUCUUUACUCGAUUAUUCAUACUUACUCCGUUACCUAAAUUCUAAUUUCGGAACAAAAUUCCCUCUAACUGGGGGAUGAUGUGACAACCCAAAAAAUUUCUAUCAUGUAUAGUCAAGCACUUCAUUAAAAGUCAAACUCAUUUCUGUUAUCUUUUAGCACAAUUAGGAGUUUAUUUGAGCGUUCUGAGCGUUGUACACUUAAGGGAUAAGUGUUGGGGUUUAUCUGUUGAACUUAUAGCUCAAAGAAACAACUUUAAACACCUUUACAAGGAGUUCGCGACCACCACAUGGGAGUUUAUGGCCAUAAAAUCCAUGUGGGCCGUAAAAUCCACCUUAUAUGAUGAAAGGGUGGCCAUUAGUUCAUUCAUUUCCUCCUAUUGGCCGAAAUCCUCUCAAGUAUCAUCCUAAUCUUCGUCCCUGAUCUUCAAAUCUUGUAAGUUCCUUUUCCUAACUAGUUGAUAUCUUACAUGAACUGGUGAUCUUACAUGAUUUCAUCCGUGAAAUCAUUCUAUUCGUGUAGAUCUUCAAGUUUCACCAAGAACACCAAGAACACACACUAGUGUUAUUGACCAAAAAUGACCAUUCAAGCUCCUAGAUCGUAAGUACUCUUGGUCUAACUCGUUGUACACUAGGUUUAACAUGUUUAGAGCCUAGAUAUCAUAAAGAAACAUAUGAUCCAAGUAGUGUAUGGCCAAGAUAUGUUCUUGGGCCGUAAACCCCUAUAAGUGGUGCAAAUGGCACCCUAACACCUUACCAAGCCUUGGAACUUAGUAUAGAACCAUACACCAUUGAACUAGGGACUUCAAUGUAACAGCCCAAAAUCUCAAGUAUUGUUAAGUGGCAUUUUGGGGGUGUUUUAAAGGAGAGACUCGACGAGUUGGAGCCAGACUCGCCGAGUAGGGUCGCAGGUUUGGUCGCGGGUUCACGACUGGACUCGACGAGUCCAGGUAUGGACUCGGCGAGUCGACGCUGUUCAGUGGAAAACCCUAGCCGUUCAGUUUGGGACGUAUAUAAGGGAUCUUAUGCCUCCAUUGUUCGCCUUUUUGGCCGACUGAGAAGGACCCUAAAUCGGUUGUGGGCAUCCAGAACAAGGAUUGAAGAUCAUUGGUGAUUUGAGGAAGUUAUUGUCCAAGAAGGAGAAGGUUUUGGCUAAUGGGACAGCAAGGGAAUCACGUUUUGAGGCUUGGGGACACUGAGAGUGCAUGAUUCAGGUAACCUUUCGGAUUAUUUUCUGUUAUGUGAAUGUGUGCAUGGAUUUAGGGUUUGUGAAACCCAUUUGGAGAUUAGAUGGAUUGUUGUGUUGUUAUCCAACGUUUAUAACCCUGUAUUAGUACCCCUUAGAGGUCCAGAAGGUCCUAUGUUUGUAUAUUCGGGAAAAUAUGUAUCUCAGGAAGCAGUUUGAUCGACUGCAUGGCGUGGACUCGCCGAGUCGGAUGAUCAGACUCGGCGAGUAGCUUGAAGAUUCACUGGGACUCGCCGAGUUGUUCUUCAGACUCGGCGAGUGGAGUCGGGGUGGCCCCGCGAUUCUUCCAGGAGUGACUCGUCGAGUCAAAGAGGAUACUCGACGAGUAGAAGGGGAAUCUUAGAGGAUUGAAGGACGACCAGACUCGCCGAGUCGCCAGGGAACUCGCCGAGUCCAGUCGAGCUGACAAUGGACUGUUGACCAGAGUUGACUGGUGUGAUUUCUUAGGGUCAGUUAACGUGGAAGAUAGAAGUAUUAAUAAGGGAUAUAUGAUGUUACAGGGAGCUUGUAGCUCGGAGGAUCAAGUGCAAGGGAUUUUAGGAGUUGCUAUCUUCCAGUGUCCGCGAGGUGAGUCUUCUCACUAUACCUCACCCGGAAGGGUUUGAUUGUGUGACCGGAAGGUCAAGUAUGUUAUGUGUUAUGUUUAUAUGCUAUAAAUGGAAAGUUAGCUGCUACGCGUGAUAUACAUGCUUAUAUAUGGGCCGGAAGGCAAGGUAUUAUGUGACAGAAAGGUCAAGGAUGAUAUAUGAUAUAUGUGCUUUAUGUGUUAGAGUAUUUGUAUUAUGUGUUAUAUAUGUGUAUGGGCCGGAAGGCAAUUAUCUUAUGGGCCGGAAGGCGAUAUAUAUUGUGGACCGAAAGGUCCGGGCCGGAAGGCAAUGUUAUGUGGACCGAAAGGUCCGGGCCGGAAGGCAAUGUUAUGUGGACCGAAAGGUCCGGGCCGGAAGGCAAUGUUAUGUGGACCGAAAGGUCCGGGCCGGAAGGCGUAUGUGCGUAAGGUAUAUUGGGGAACUCACUAAGCUUCGUGCUUACGUUGUUUAUGUUAUGUUGUUUCAGGUUCUUACAGUAACGCGGGAUGGCAACGGUUCGAUUGUACACACCGAAGAAAGAGUUGUGUUUUGGAGGAUCCUGGUCUUCUAUUAUAAUGAAAAUGAAACUAUGUUUUGUAAUUCGAAUGUGAAUAAGAUUUUAAACAAGUGUUUUUAAUAUUAAAUUGAUUAUUUAAAUGAAAAUUUUGUUUUUGGAAAUCUCGGUGUUACAAAUUGGUAUCAGAGCCUUGGUUUGAGGGAUUCGGACGCGCCUACGGGUAAAUCUGGACUCAAACUGAGGAAGUAAGAAAAAGUUUUCCAAAUAAAUGGUUUUCUAAAAGUGAAUAAGAGUUCAAAGAGAAAGCAAGAAAGAGCAGUGUGUACAAUCAGCCAGAGCCAAACGGUGAUUUCCCAAAAUACCCUUACUUUUGUAUUAUGAAAUAUCUAUUAUGCACUUUAUGAGACAUUAUUGCAUGCUAGAGACAGGCUAGGUAUUUCACAUCUUAGGACUAGAGUGGCCUGAUUUGUGAUGCCUUAGUCUAGGGUUUGCUGUUAUAUGUGCGUUAUGCUUUUGUGUGUAUGUGAUGAGUGAGAGUAUCUAGUUAGAACGCACAAGGGGUAAAGCUACGGGGUACAGAGGUACUUCCGAGGAUGAGCCGAGAAGGUGGAGCUACCACAGAUGGGGAGUCCUAUGUAUGCUUCAAUGCUCGAAUGCUGCUUGCUUUGUGCUUUGUGGAGUUAUCGAUGAUGGGAGUCAGCUACUAAGUGAGUAUGACGAUACUCAGGAGGUAGAGGGCUGGCAUCAUUAGGAACUCUUCAGCAGCUGAUAGCAAAGAAGUGGGAGGACAGCGGAAGGGACUAGGGAGUAAACCUAGCCAGAUGAGUGCGCUGGUAGAGUAGAGGAUUUCGCUGGAAAGCGAGCACGCGCGAUGAGAUGGGUGAAAGAGCAGGUUUAUCAGCUACUUAGGAACUCUGGGAUGGUCCGUGUGGAAAGUAUGGGUAGAUGUGACAGGUAGUAUGGGCCCGUACUACUGAAAGCAGAGGACCCAUACUUGAUACAGGGGGCAUCCUAAAGGUCCUAAGGAACAGAUUGAGGGGUGAUGUUAUGGUUCGGAUACCAUACAUCGGAGCGGAUACAGAGUGAUGUUAUGGUCCGGGCACCAUACAUCGGAACAGAUUGAGAUAGAUGUUGUGGUCCGAGUGCUAUACAUUGGAGCAGAUUGAGGAGUGGUGCUAUGGUUCAGGUACCAUACACCGAAGCAUGUUGAGGAGGGAUGUCAUGGGAUGAGUACCAUGGUUCGUAGUGGAUGAUGCUUGUGGCUAUCUUGUUAUCCGGUUAUGACCGAUGAGGUAGAGAUUGGACGCUAUGGGUUUCAGGCCUGUAGACCAUGAUUGAGUACGGAGAGGCGUUCCUCGAGGGGAAAGACAAGUGCCUAUCAGAGUAUUUUGGUAAGAGUCAAAGACAGGGGAGAAUUUCAGUUGAGUCGAGCAAUCAGACGACAGAGGAGAGGUCACCUUUUUGGGUGGGUAGUGUCAUUUAUGCUCGUGUGCAAGACGCGAGAGGUCUGGUGUUUCAGUUCUGGAUUUGGGAGUACACCCUGCAGGUAGUUAUCGAUAAUGACUUCCCUCAGAGCAUCAGGUAGCGGGUGUACCGCGAGACAGAGAUUUACCGUGAACAGACAGUCAGUUGGGGCUGAGGUAGUCGAGAACCACACCACACCUAAUUGAGAAUAACAGGUUGGGUUAUAGUGGUAGCAGUGAAGAGUUCAGACGAGUUUUGCAGUGCGGAGAGUUGUCGUCUAUGUUGAGAGUAAGUCCCUGUCCUUGGGACAAAUCCGGCGUUGGAUACGGGUUGAUGAGCUGAGAUGAGAGGAACGAUGAUGCUGCGGUGCAGUCUGCGAGCCAGAUAUGUUAUCGAGCAGUGCAGGUGCUUAGUAUUAGAUCAGUAUGGGAUUUGGAACGAUUAGAGGCAGCCGUGAUGAGAAGUUCUUGGAGAGUUAGCUAGAGGUUCAGAGUAUAGGGGAUUGAUUGACUUCAUAAGGGGAGGGACUAUCGGGUGUUGCACAGCACUUUUCUGGGGCAGGUACGAUUUCGCUGGUGAAAGAUAGUCGUGGGUUGAUUGUAUACUAAUUGGUGUUGGUUCGAACCUUAGUGGGGGAGAACCGGGUGCAGUAUGUAAGAAAGCAAGAAUUGUCAAGAGUAGUAAUAAGUGGAGUAUAGAGAUGCAGUAGGAAAUCAUGAGACCAUAGGUGUCGAUGAUCGAGUAAAAAGGGGUUACAUCGGAGCUUGCGGGUCCGGUGGUGCAUGCCGCAAGUGCGGAAAGGAGGGGCACUGUGCACGGGAUUGUUGGCAGUCAGUGCCAAUUCGGGAUUUGAGGAGGACAGGAUGAAGCGGAGCCCCAGAGGGCUCAGGGUCGUGUUUAUCUGCGUGCGACAGAGGGAGACGGAGCAGUGCCGGAGACAGCUGCGGGUAUGAUGCUUUCAUGAUGUCUUAAUUGUCUUGCAUUGAUUUGGCGUAUUGUUUGUGCUGGUAUCUUGUAUGGAUUUCGAUGCGGUAUUCGUUGUUUCGCGGGUCUGGCAUGGUUAUGGAUUGGUGCUUCAGGUUUUCGCUUUGGCAUUCGUUAUUCCCUGAUGGUUGGGUAUGGUUAUAAUUGGUGUUUUAGUGUCAGUAGUCUUGUGCGGUUUUCGAUGUGGUGUUCAUCCUUUGGGCAGAUUGUGAGUUUGGUUAUGGGUUAUUGUCGAGGAUUCCUUUGGUUAUCGUUCGUGGGGGUUGUUAGGGGAGAUGCGGCACUGGGUUGAUUGUCGGGUAGCAUCUACAGUCGUGGAGUGGAUGAUUGAAGGACUAGAUUCUUGUGAGUGGGUUGAUCAGGGAGGAGGUGUGUUUUGCUGAGGGUUGCUUGUGCUUGUGGGAAGCAGUCAGUGUGUAAUUGUUCUCUUUGUACAGGAUUGUUCUGUAAGGUCGUUAAUGACGAUCGGUGGCAGUUAGUCAGUGUUUUAGUGGGGGAGAAUUAGAAAAUUCUCCGGGAGAUCGAUGAGUAUGUGAGGGUGCUUAGCUGUUGGGAUUCAGCAGUGUUUGUCAGCGCAGAGUAUAGGCCGACGAGAGCGAGUGUCGGGUAUGCGGGGCGGGAUACAGACCUAGGACAUUUGACUGUGGAGGCCUGAGAGAAGGCCGGGAUCAAGCUUGAGUAAGUAACCGGGGUUAUGCGAUCAGAGUAUUGGUAUGUUGAGGUACGUGAUGGGUUGUACUGCGUUAAUCCCACGGGAUUUAUGUUGUGCAUGUUUCUAGAGUUGGAACCGGAAGGUUCCCAGAGUUCGAACCUGAGGGUUCGCAGAGUUGGGUGUACGGACCCACAGAGAUAUAGCCUCGAGUGGCUAGUAUGUGUUAUGAGAGUCGGUCCAGUCAUGCUGGAGACUCUGUUGGUAUUGCUGGAUCAGUUUGAGAUUACGGAUGGUGUAUGUGCAGUGUGAUUACAUUGGAAGGUCGGGCCCCGGGAUUGGUGAUCUUGUUUAGCUGAGGCAGUGAUCUUGAUGAGUGGAGAGAGUGCAUGAGAUUGAGAGCCCCUGCAAUGAGAACCAGAGUAUGUGGAUAGCGGUUACGCAAAAAGGGUGGUGUCGCUUGGGGCGAGCACCGUGGCACCGGUUGGAGUGGCAUUAUGGCCAAGAGGGUUCCUUGGAAAAAGGAAAAGAGGAAGGUGUGUAACUCCGAAGGGGUGCAAGUUCACGAAAGUGAAAGCUGCAGAGCAGAAUUAUGGUUAGAGUAUUUCAAGUAUGGUUUCGAGCAUCGUGUUUGCGGCAGUGAAGUAGGAACCCAUCCGGGUUGGGAUGACUGACGAGACUCAGAAAGGAUGCAAGGGAAUAGAGAAUCUUGAAUUCUCAGUGUGAUUCUGAUCAGGGUAUAGGACGGAUAUUAGUGGUUCGUCUUGGGAGAUGUUCGAGGAUAUCAUCAGUGAAUCGGGUUUUUCAACCUGCGAGUGUUGGGACUAGUUCAGUAUGUGUAUGUGAUGGCAAGAGGGAACUUGUGAGAGUUGAUCUGAGAGGGAGAACGGAUCUCUCAGUCGGUCCGGAAUGGGCAAAGUGGGCUUUGGAUCGGGGAUCCGGUGGUUCAGGGUUUCCUAACCCUUAUGGGUUGAGUGAUCGUUGAGAUUUGGAGCAGAGUGCAUCUUGGGUAAUUUCCGAUUACAGAGAGUGAUGAGCAGUUCAGAGUUCGUACUUUAGUUGACAAAGCAGACUCAGCAGGUUAAAGAGAGUUAGUGAUCGUCUAGAGUUAACAGGAAAGUUAUGCAGGCAGACGCCGUUACGAGCAUGUGAUUCAGGUCGGCGACUUCGUAUUUCUGACGGGGUGUUUCGAUUUAGGAAGAGGGGUAAAUGGGGGGCCCCGGUAUGUUGGGUCUUUUCGUGAAGGUGCGAAGGUAGGAAGGGUGGCCUAUCGUUUGGAGCUGUCAACGGAAUUGGGACGGAUCCAUGACACUUGUAUGUGUCGCAAUUGAAGAGGUGUAUAGCGGAUGAGUCAGCAGUGGUUCUACUAGAGAACGAUUAGGUGGAUGCGAGCCUGUGUUACGUCGAGAGGCCAGUGGCCGUCGGAGAUCGGAAGAUCAAGGUUCUGAGGAACAAGGAGGUACCUCUGGUAUUGGUUCAGUAGCGGCCUCGGGAGAGAUCGGUAGUGUCUAGGGAAGCCGAAACGUGAGAUGCGGGAGCAGCAGCCAGAACUAUUUUCAGAGUGAGACUUCGAGGGCGAAGUCUAAUUCUAGUGGGGGAGAAUUGUAACAGCCCAAAAUCUCAAGUAUUGUUAAGUUGCAUUUUGGGGGUGUUUUAAAGGGGAGACUCGACGAGUUGGAGCCAGACUCGCCGAGUAGGGUCGCAGGUUUGGUCGCGGGUUCACGACUGGACUCGACGAGUCCAGAUAUGGACUCGGCGAGUCGACGCUGUUCAGCGGAAACCCUAGCCGUUCAGUAUUGGGUCGUAUAUAAGGGUUAUUAUGCCGUCAUUUCACGACUUUGGAUCGAUUGGGAAGAACCCUAGGCGACUGGGGCGGCUAGAGCAAGUUUGAAGGCCAUUGGUGACCUUGAAGGAAUUGUUGUGCAAGGAGGAGAAGGGUUUUGGCUAAAGGAACUGCAGGGAGUUCGAGUUCUGAAGUUUGGGGACAUGGAAGGUGCAUCAUUCAGGUAAUAAUUCGGAUUACAUUCUCCUGUGAUUGAUGUGUAUAUAGAUUUAGGGUUUAUGGAACCCAUUUGGAGUCUAGAUGGAUUGUUGUGUUGUUAUUCAACGUUUAUAACCUUGUAUUAGGACCCUUAGAGGUCCAGAAGGUCCUAUGUUUGUAUAUUCGGGAAAAUAUGUAUCUCAGGAAGCAGUUUGAUCGACUGCAUGGCGUGGACUCGCCGAGUCGGAUGAUCAGACUCGGCGAGUAGCUUGAAGAUUCACUGGGACUCGCCGAGUUGUUCUUCAGACUCGGCGAGUGGAGUCGGGGUGGCCCCGCGAUUCUUCCAGGAGUGACUCGUCGAGUCAAAGAGGAUACUCGACGAGUAGAAGGGGACUCUUAGAGGAUUGAAGGACGACCAGACUCGCCGAGUCGCCAGGGAACUCGCCGAGUCCAGUCGAGCUGACAACGGGCUGUUGACCAGAGUUGACUGGUGUGAUUUCUUAGGGUCAGUUAACGUGGAAGAUAGAAGUAUUAAUAAGGGAUAUAUGAUGUUACAGGGAGCUUGUAGCUCGGAGGAUCAAGUGCAAGGGAUUUCAGGAGUUGCUAUCUUCCAGUGUCCGCGAGGUGAGUCUUCUCACUAUACUUUACCCGGAAGGGUUUGAUUGUGAGACCGGAAGGUCGUAUGUGUGAUAUUUAUGCUAUGGCUAGAGAGAUAGAUGCUUUAUAUGUGAUGUAUGCUUAUAUAUGAUGUAUACUUAUACGGGCCGGAAGGCGAGACUUCAUGUGAUAGGAAGAACGGUAUGAUGUAUGACUUAUGUGUUAUGUGCGUUAUGUUACAUGUGUUAUGUUUAUACUGUUAUGGGCCGGAAGGCGAUUAUGUUACGGGCCGGAAGGCAAUAUUAUGUGGACCGAAAGGUCCGGGCCGGAAGGCAAUAUUAUGUGGACCGAAAGGUCCGGGCCGGAAGGCAAUAUUAUGUGGACCGAAAGGUCCGGGCCGGAAGGCAAUAUUAUGUGGACCGAAAGGUCCGGGCCGGAAGGCAAUAUUAUGUGGAUCGAAAGGUCCGGGCCGGAAGGCGUGUGUGCGUAAGGUAUAUUGGGGAACUCACUAAGCUUCGUGCUUACGUUGUUUAUGUUAUAUUGUUUCAGGAUCUUACAGUAACGCGGGAUGGCAACGGUUCGAUUGUACACACCGAAGAGAGAAUUGUGUUUUGGAGGAUCCUGGUCUUCUAUUAUAACGAAAAUGGAACUAUGUUUUGUAAUUUGAAUGUGAAUAAGAUUUUAAACAAGUGUUUUAAUAUUAAUUUGAUUAUUUAAAUGAAAAUUUUGUUUUUGGAAAUCACGGUGUUACAUUCAAGAAACUAAAUGCUACUUCAUACCAUGAGUUUACGGCUGUAAACUCAUGGGGAAGUGGUCCCCAAGCCGUAAACUCAGUAUAAGGUCAAUCUUGGACCAUAAACCCACCUAGCAUCUUGUUUAAGCCUUUAAACACCUAACCACAUAAGACAACUUACCUUUAAGCCUCAUUUGGUGACCUAUUGGAGAGUUUAUGGCUAGGAGUAAACUCCCCUGGGCCGUAAACUCCAACAAGUAUGGUCUAUGACCAUAAACUCACUUACAAAGCCUUAUACUUCUUUGUUGCAACCCAAUGGCCUCCUAACACUUUGACCAAAGUGUUUUCCACGCCUUAGAAUGUUUAUACUUGACUUAGGAUCAUUGUGUGUGUUUAAGUCUUCACUUGACACCAAACACUUGUCCAACACUUCCAUCCGAUCCACUCACUACAGGUGAGUUCAUACCCCUUAAUUAACCUUUUAAAUGUUUAUAAAUGCUUUAUGGGGGGAAUACAAGUUGAAUCAUGAUUGAUAUUAUAUCAAUCACAUGUGAUUAAUAACUAGCAAACAAAUGGAUUUACUAUACUUUUAGUUGUUUUGGCAAACAGAUUACUUCAAAUGUCUUUCUCAAACGUUUUUACAUGUUAAAACUCUUUAUCAAACUAGUUUACAUACUGUAUGUUUCCUUUCAAACUCUGUUACACUUGUGUUUCAAACAAAGGUUUUCCUUCUACUUAAAACUGUCUUAUCAAACAAACUACUUUCAAAUCGUUUUAUAAACUAACAUCAAGUCAUCAUUUUCUUAGUUAUUAAAUAUUUCAAAGAUUUUACAAAACUUCUUUUACACUUUUAUAUUGUCAAAUGCAUGCCUAUAUAUGUAUAGUUAUAUACGAAAUGUUUAAAGUACUUAGGACGGCUAGCUCACUUUAUUUCCUUUUCAUCGUUGGGAUGUGGUGUUAGACCACCGGUUAUUCGUGUGAAUGUCGUCUAAAUAUUAGUUAUAUAUCAUCUAUACAUAUAUAGACAUAAAAGUUCCAUCAGUCAGUUCAGUACCUUUGGGUAGCAAAGGCAUACUUUCGGUUAUAUACGUACAUUAAUAGUAACUAUAAUAGGUAUAAUUAGGAGAUACUACUUACUAUUCCAAGUACAAGGAUUCACACAAGAGUCAGUUCAUUCAUGAGUCUAUACUAAUACAUUACAUACUAUAUGCGUAGAUACGAUUACACACGUUUACAUGAAUACGUUUACAUAGAUACGUUUACAUAGAUACGUUUACAUAGAUACGUUUACAUGAAUACGCUUACAUGAAUACGUUUACAUAGAUACGCUUACAUGAAUAAGUUUACAUUAAUAGGUUUAAUAGAUACUAUUACAUAGAAUCUAUUACAAACGUUUCGGGACUUACCAUUCCACACCAAAAGCUGUUAGCUACAGUAGGGAAAAUGAUCAUCGACGGGUGUCUACGGUUGUACUGUUCGGCGAGUUUCCACGCCGUGAAUAUCCUAGUUCAAAAGGAUACAAUUUUAGUUAUUAUAUUAUUUUUCUUUUUAACUUUACUUUGUGAUGCAUUCACAUGAACGACGAGGUAUGAUAUAUUUGAUAUAGAUAGACUAUUUUCCUUAUUACCUUUAUAUUGUGACUCAUACGCAUAAACGAUGAGGUAGACUAUAGUUUUAUAAUAAUAGUUAAACAGGGAAAAACCGUCACAUCUACAGUGAUGCCUACUUUCAAAACUGUCGGAUCUUGGUAAAAGACUACUUUCAAAACAGUCGGGUCUUGGUAGAAGACUACUAUUAUACUAGUAGGAAAUAUGAGAUUUUCUAGGGUUUUCAAACGUUUACAAUUACUUACAAACAUUUUCAUACUUAUAUAAAAUUUUCUCCAAAUAUUUACAAGUCUUUACUUUACAGUUUUACAAAUCAAAUACACAUUAAUACUUAUGAAUUCACGAGCUUUAUUGCUGAUACUCACUUUCAAAAUAACUUGUAUUCUCAGGUUACAAAUAGACAGGUACAUCGAGCAGGUUUUGUGAAGACGGAGCAGUCAAGACUCGUCUUUUAUUUUCGACAUUCAUUAUCUUGUUUUAAUACUAUGAAAGAACACACAUGUAUUUAAAAUUAUACUAUUAAUGCAAUGGAUGAUGUUGUUGCUUGUUAACUACUUUACAUCGUUGUGAUACAUUACAUGACGUCCUCCGCCCCAGAACGUUUCCGCCGUUCUCGGUUUUGGGGUGUGACAAUAUAAGUUUAAGAGUUAGGAGUUUUAAAACAUUAAAUUUUUUAUUAAUCAAUCAAUUAAGUACCACAUGUUGAAAUUUUUACAAUCGUUAUUAAAAAACAUUUGAAAUAUUAGAUUUUAAAUGAAUUUUGGUUGAGAAAGAUGGAAAGGAUAACAUAUGCAUGAGUUUUAAUUAAUUAUGUUUUUGAAAUGCUGCAAUUACAAAAAAAACAUAUUCAAAAUAUUUAAUUAAAUAUUUUCGACAUCACCCUAUAUAACAUAUGAUCAAUAUAUUAACGAUUAAACCACAGUAUACAACGACUGUAUUACAAUAUUCCAAAAUCGAAGAAAAUAUAAAAAUGAAUGAGUAUAACAAACUUACAAAUUAAAAGCUCUAAUAUAAUAGCAUAUCUCCAAAAGUGGUCAUAAAACCUCAACCCAACACAAAAACCUUUAAGUUUGUUUUCUUUCUGAAAUUUGUAUAUGAUUUGUAUGCAUGUCUUCCCAAAAGAUUGACAUUUUUAUAGUAACCUUUUUCACUAAAUGUUAAUUAAACAUAAUAUAAGUUAUACAAUUUUUGAGUGUUAAAUCAUAAUUAAUAAAAUUUUUGAGUUGCAUUAGUUAAAAAAGGGGUUUCAAAUGUAUGAGAUUCAAGAAAAAUGCUAGCUUUAUAAGGACGUAUGAUAUAUNGUCAAUUUAGAGAUGAUAAGCAUCAAAAAUGACUUUUUGAUGGAAGAUUAUUUAGAAGGAUUAAUCUUAACUAAGUUAUAGUAUAUGUUAUAAGGAUUCCGUACAUAUAAAGAAUGCCGAAAUCCGAGUGAUGACGAAGAAGUUAUGACCUGUCGAAGUUUCGCGACAGAACUGGCACGACACAGCGCGACCUAAAAAGUGAAUUUAUGUUAGAGCGAUAUUUAGCCUUAGUAAUCUAAACGAAAGUUGAAGUGUUCGUUAAACCGAGAGCGUGCAUAAAAAGAACGCCCAAAUCUGACUUCGUAUUAGGAAGUUAUGGUUUUCUAAAGUUUCGACUUAGCAGUAUGCAGCCAGAAUACUCGAUUUAAGAUCGAGCGGUUUUUAGCCGAAACAAUCUAAACGAGAAUCAAAGAUGUCGUUAAUAGUAGUGAAACGAUAAAAAUAUAGGCGAAAACGGACGUCGGAUGAAGGAGUUAUGAAUUUAUAACGGAGUUUUCCUGUCACAGCCUACUAAAAAUAAUAUAAUAAAAAUAAAUUCAAAAUUAGCCGACGUAGUCUAAAUGAAAGUUAUAGAUCUUGCUUUUACCUACGCGUCGAUAUAAAGAACGUCGAAAACGGAGUUCGUAUGCGAAAGUUAUGAAUUUCAGAAUUUCGGGGCGCGAAACCCCAAAACUGUCAGCUACCACGACGUGGCAAGCAGUGCCACGACGUCGCAAGUCUUUUGACACCUCCUGGAGUCCCCCAGAUGCAACUUGCGAUGACACAUGCAAUGACGACCAAGCCCACGACAUGAAAAAAGGUGCCACGACGUGGCAAGGGCAAAUUUUGCCCUAUAAAUAGAUUUGAAGGGCUAGCCGAUUAUGGUUGCUCCAUCCCUUCUCUCCCACUACCGAUACACCCUCUAGGCCCUAUUUUAACCCCCCGAAGUCCCGAUAACAUCCCGAGACCUGAAGCAAGUCCCGAAGCCCGAAGAUCCCGAGAAGAAAAGAGUUUCCGAGCCGAAGCUCUGUCCGCGAGAAACCCGGUGUGUGAAGAUAUCUCGGUUUCACCGAAGAGUUCUACUUGAAGAGCCGUAGUGCUGUUUGAGCUUUGUCUAAUCAAGUGGGUGUGUGGUUACUUUCUUCUAACACAUAAAUAUAAAGUAAUAGCUAUGAAAUACGUGCUAUGUGUUAUGUAUUAUUUGUCUAUUUGAGAUGGGCUUGGAAUUGAUGUUUUUAUACGAGUGUUAAAUGAUUCAAACUAUAUAUGUAUUUUGUAUCUAUAAAAUAUGUUGGGUAGAACAUGGGUAGACGAAAUAGUGGCAAGUAUGAGACGUAGUGCCUAUUCUAUAAACCUUGGUGACUAUGGAGUUAGCGCCUAUUGUAUAAACCUUGGUGACUAUGGAGUUUGCGCCUGUUAAAGUAAACCUUGGCGACUAUGGAGUUAGCGCAUAUUGAGUAAACCUUGGCGACUAUGGAGUUAGUGCUUGUUGAGUCAACCUUGGUGACUAUGGGGUUAGCGCCUGAUAGCUAUGGAUUUAGUACCUGAUAGAUAAACUUUGGCAGCAAUGGACUUCAUGUCGAUUCGUUAGGUAAAUCCUUAGGAACGAAUGGAUAAAGGAUAGUUGAUUCUUAGGGUAAAACCUUAAGAAAUAAAGAGGAUAAUGGGGAUGAGUAAUUUGGUUGAUUGUUUGAUGAUUAAAUAUAAUAAAUAUAUUAUUGUGGGUUGAAAACCCUAUACGCUCACCAGGCUCCCAAGCCUGACCUACUCAGUUUUCUUUGUAUUACAGGUAAUGGCAUAGGGGUAUAAGUUCGUGGAUUGACGAGAGAAUUUGAAUUAUAGAUCAGUAGUUAUAAAUAACUGUUGUAAGGUUUAUUUUAUAUUGUUUAGGCUUUUGGUUUGUAUCAGAAUAUGACAUCCCGAGGUUUUAUUAUUUAAUGAAAAUACAUUCUCUUUGAGAAAUGUUUUGAUAAAUGGUUAUCAUAUUUUGUUUUUGGGACAAUUUCCGCAACUGUUUUCCUUACAAAUGAUUACUCUGAUUUUAAAACAAAGCAUAAACAAAUCGGUCUUUUCUAGCGGCAAAAUUGGGGAUGUCACAAUUGGUAUCAAAGCAUUAGUUUAAGCGAACUAGCAAUUUGUAGGAUUUCUAGACUUAAACUUAGAAUGUUAAGCAAUGAUUGUGAGAUGAGUGCCUGCCAUAUUUUAGACACGAGCACUAGCUUAUUUAAGAAAAAUGCCUAACAUGCUUUUAUGUGCUAAAUGGUUUGUGAUAUGCGUUAUGUGAUUGGAUCUAUGGUCUGUUGCCGACCGGAUCUGGAAAUUUUAUGUGUUCAGAUUUCUAAAUGUUUAAUUACGGUAUUAGAACUGGCAUGUAAAUUUUCGGAGUAAUAAGGAGUAUAACACGUCUAAAUCUUCUUUAUCUAUAUUUCGUCUCGAUGCAAAGAAUGCAUGCUUCUGUGAAAAUAACGUCAUGGUGGAGACUCGUAGAGAAUUGAGAAAAUGGAGGAAAUGAAAGCCUUAUGAUAGCGAAUGACACCUAUCAGAAGAUAUCGUAAGAGUGGUGUCGUGCCUUUAGUUUAUCUCUGAUAAAAUAACAGAAUGUUUAGAGGAGUACGGUACGUCUGAAGUACACCUUCGAUUGGCAGGAUGAUGGAACGAUUGGUGUAAUUUUUAUAGUUGUCCCAUCAUCUGGAAUUUCCAUCACCAACCGAGUUAAAUUAGAAAUGAUGAUUGAAGAUACGCUUGGAAGAAGUCUUAGUAGAGUCUAGGAAAAUUAGUAUGAUUAAUUGGACACAUUAGUAUGUGUUAAAUUGUUUUGUGAUAUUAGGACUUGGGGACUGCGAGACAAUACUUGGGACGAGUACGAGUUAGUGUGAAUAGUAGUAGAGAUCUAUACUACUGGAAGAACAAGACUCACACUUAGAUCAGGGAAAGUCACAAGGUUACCAAGAAGCUAGUGAUUGGUCUCAUUUUAUUCAAGUAUGUCGUUACCAUUGUUUCGGUAGUGACUAAGAAGAUGAUUGUUAUUCUGACCCUAGCGGUCAUUACAAAUUGAGUCCGACUGCAAUGAGUUUGUUACUUGGUUCUGAGAACCGAGUUUGAUGUAGUAUCUGACUUAAGUCAGAAGAUUGAAAUCAAUGCGAUCGAUAGCAUCGCGCUCAUUGUUAAAGAAGUUAGUAGCUAGAAAUGUUACAUGCUAAAAUGUGAUUAUAUCACAUUAGAAUAUGAAGGAAGGAAUAAUCCAUUCUGGGAUUUGACUCUAAGAGACUUGAGUCUAAGCGUUGCAUCAUACGAUGAGAGGUCAUUAGAAUAUGACCCAUCGGUCUGUUACAAUAAAUAAAGGAAAGUAUUUAUCCUAAGAAGAAGAAAGAGUCCAAAUUGAGGACUUAUUUUGUAACUUGAAGGUUAUGAUUGAAAGUCCAACAUAGUACGAAAAGCAGAUGCAAGAUUGAGCAUCGUUUGCAGUCAAGAAGCCCUAGAGUUAGAUACUUUUCGAAGAAACAUAGAAGUUAGUGUUAUUACCUAGGUUGAAGAGAUAGCAUAUAAAAUCAUUAUACCAGUCCUAUUUUGAUGAUGAUUCUGGGACGUAAUCAUCCUAUGGGGGAGAUAAUUGUAACGCCCGCAGAUCUGGGCUAGUCAUUUAGAGACGAUAAGCAUCAAAAAUGACUUUUUUAUGGAAGAUUAUUUAGAAGGAUUAAUCUUAACUAAGUUAUAGUAUAUGUUACAAGGAUUCCGCAUAUAUAAAGAAGGCAAAAAUCCGAGUUAUAACGAAGAAGUUAUGACUUGUCAAAGUUUCGCGACAGAACCGGCACGACACAGCGCGACGUAAAAAGUGAAUUUAUGUUAGAGCGAUAUUUAGCCUUAGUAAUCUAAACGAAAGUUGAAGAGUUUGUUAAACUGAGAGCGUGCAUAAAAAGAACGCCCAAAUCUAAAUUCGUAUGAGGAAGUUAUGAUUUUCUGAAGUUUCAACUUAGCAGUAUGCACCCUGAAUACUCGAUUUGAGAUCGAGCGGUUUUUAGCCGAAACAAUCUAAACGAGAAUCGAAUAUCUCAUUAAUAGUAGUGAAACGAUAAAAAGAUAGGCGAAAACGGACGUCAGAUGAAGGAGUUAUGAAUUUAUAACGGAGUUUUCCUGUCCCGGCCUACUAAAAAUAAUAUAAAAACAAUAUAAUAAAAAUAAAUUCAAAAUUAGCCGACUGAGUCUAAAGGAAAGUUGUAGAUCUGUUUUUUACCUACGCGUCGAUAUAAAGAACGUCGAAAACGGAGUUCGUAUGCGAAAGUUAUGAAUUUCUGAAUUUCGGGGCGCGAAACCCCAAAACUGUCAGAUACCACGACGUGGCAAGCAGUGCCACGACGUCGCAAGUCUUUUGACACCUCCUGGAGUCCCCCAGACGCAACUUGCGAUGACGCAUGCAAUGACGACCAAGCCCACGACAUGAAAAAAGGUGCCAUGACGUGGCAAGGGCAAAUUUUGUCCUAUAAAUAGAUUUAAAGGACCAACCGAUUAUGGUUGCUCCAUCCAUUCUCUCCCACUCCCGAUACACCCUCUAAGCCCUAUUUUAACCCCCCCCCCCCGNAAACACCGAUAACAUCCCGAGACCCGAAGCGAGUCCCGAAGCCCAAAGAUCCCGAGAAGAAAAGAGUUUCCGAGCCGAAGCUCAGUCCGCGAGAAACCCGGUGUGUGAAGAUAUCACGGUUUCACCGAAGAGUUCUACUUGAAGAGCCGUAGUGCUAUCCGAGCUUCGUCUAAUCAAGUGAGUGUGUGGUUACUUUCUUCUAACACAUAAAUAUAAAGUAAUAGCUAUGAAAUACGUGCUAUGUGUUAUGUAUUAUUUGUCUAUUUGAGAUGGGCUUGGAAUUGAUGUUUUUAUACGGGUGUUAAAUGAUUCAAUCUAUAUAUAUAUAUGUAUUUUGUAUCUACAAAAUAUGUUGGGUAGAACAUGGGUAGAUGAAAUAGUGGCAACUAUGAAACGUAGUGCCUGUUGUAUAAACCUUGGUGACUAUGGAGUUAGCGCCUAUUGUAUAAACCUUGGUGGCUAUGGAGUUAGCGCCUAUUAAAGUAACCCUUGGCGACUAUGGAGUUAGCGCAUGUUGAGUAAACCUUGGCGACUAUGGAGUUAGCGAUUGUUGAGUGAACCUUGGUGACUAUGGAGUUAGCGCCUGAUAGCUAUGGAUUUAGUACCUGAUAGAUAAACUUUGGCAGCAAUGGACUUCAUGCCGAUUCCUUAGGAACCAAUGGAUAAAGGAUAGUUGAUUCUUAGGGUAAAACCUUAAGAAAUAAAGAGGAUAAUGGGGAUGGGUAAUUGGGUUGAUUGUUUGAUGAUUAAAUAUAAUAAUUAUAUUAUUGUGGGUUGAAAACCCUAUACGCUCACCAGGCUCCCAAGCUUGACCCAUUCAGUUUUCUUUGCAUUACAGGUAAUGACACAAGGGUAUAAGUUGUUGGACUUGACGAGAGAAUUUGGAUUAUAGAUCAGUAGUUAUAAAUAACUGUUGUAAGGUCUAUUUAAUAUUGUUUACGCUUUUGGUCUGUAUCGGAACAUGACAUCCCGAGGUUUUUUUAUUUAAUGAAAAUACAUUCUCUUUGAGAAAUGUUUUGAUAAAUGGUUAUCAUAUUUUGUUUUUGGGACAAUUUCUGCAACUAUUUUCCUUAAAAAGGAUUACUCUGAUUUUAAAAUAAAGUAGAAACAAAUCGGUCUUUUCUGGCCUCGAAAUUUGGGAUGUCACAAUAUAAGUGAGGGAUCAAUUGAGAAAAAAAGUUGAGAAUGAGGGAAUGAACGCGGGCCACUAAUUUCGAAUUUUCCGCUUAAGCGCUCUAGCACACCGGGCCGACAUAACAAGUCAUAUUCAUAUAUGAAUACAUAUAUUCAUAUAUGUAUAAGUAUAACGAAAGUGGUCAUUCAUAUAUGAAUAUGGCGGCGGUGGGUGGUGGUGGAGGUGAUGGUGGUUGGCUUCAGACGUGGUGGUGGUCAGUGGCGGUGGUUAGUAGCGGAUGAGAAGUGGAGCAUUCAUAUAUUAAGAUUACUCAUCCUUCGUCGGCCUGGUACAUCAGAGCAUUUUUCGGAAAAAAUAAAUUAUCGGCUGAUAAUGAAUCUCCAUUCUCAACCUUUUUAAUUUUCUCAAUUGAACUUAUAUAUAUAUAUAUAUAUAUAGUAUGGGCUAAGUUCAUUUAGGUUGGGCNNNNNNNNNNNNNNNNNNNNNNNNNNNNNNNNNNNNNNNNNNNNNNNNNNNNNNNNNNNNNNNNNNNNNNNNNNNNNNNNNNNNNNNNNNNNNNNNNNNNNNNNNNNNNNNNNNNNNNNNNNNNNNNNNNNNNNNNNNNNNNNNNNNNNNNNNNNNNNNNNNNNNNNNNNNNNNNNNNNNNNNNNNNNNNNNNNNNNNNNNNNNNNNNNNNNNNNNNNNNNNNNNNNNNNNNNNNNNNNNNNNNNNNNNNNNNNNNNNNNNNNNNNNNNNNNNNNNNNNNNNNNNNNNNNNNNNNNNNNNNNNNNNNNNNNNNNNNNNNNNNNNNNNNNNNNNNNNNNNNNNNNNNNNNNNNNNNNNNNNNNNNNNNNNNNNNNNNNNNNNNNNNNNNNNNNNNNNNNNNNNNNNNNNNNNNNNNNNNNNNNNNNNNNNNNNNNNNNNNNNNNNNNNNNNNNNNNNNNNNNNNNNNNNNNNNNNNNNNNNNNNNNNNNNNNNNNNNNNNNNNNNNNNNNNNNNNNNNNNNNNNNNNNNNNNNNNNNNNNNNNNNNNNNNNNNNNNNNNNNNNNNNNNNNNNNNNNNNNNNNNNNNNNNNNNNNNNNNNNNNNNNNNNNNNNNNNNNNNNNNNNNNNNNNNNNNNNNNNNNNNNNNNNNNNNNNNNNNNNNNNNNNNNNNNNNNNNNNNNNNNNNNNNNNNNNNNNNNNNNNNNNNNNNNNNNNNNNNNNNNNNNNNNNNNNNNNNNNNNNNNNNNNNNNNNNNNNNNNNNNNNNNNNNNNNNNNNNNNNNNNNNNNNNNNNNNNNNNNNNNNNNNNNNNNNNNNNNNNNNNNNNNNNNNNNNNNNNNNNNNNNNNNNNNNNNNNNNNNNNNNNNNNNNNNCGGUUCGUGGUGACCGUGGCGAUUGUGAUGGUGGGGGAAAAGGAGCGAGGAACGUUGGAUAAUCAUUUAGUGUUAUAACUCUCCCGUCGUGCUGAUACGUUGAAGCGCUAGAGCGGCACAUAAGAAAUAUAUAACUGAGAUUGAAUCUGAAAAUCUUUAUUUUUUUUCGAAAUCUCAACAGAAUAUAUAUAUAUAUAUAUAUAAAGGUGGCAGAUAUAAUAAAAGUCAACUACAUUUUUAUUUUUAUGGUUCAAGCACAUAAAGGAUAAUGGAUUUAAAAGUGGACAGAUCGGAAUAUAGACCCUUUUAUUGAUUGUAAUGUUUUGCAACUGUACGUGUUUGGUUUCUUGUUUCAUAUAUAGAUUAAAAGACUAUUUAUAUUUUCAUUUACGUGCGGAAUUGAUUUUUUUUAGUUUAACUUUAAACUACUGGAUAUGUAUAUUAAAGUCCUAAAAUUUUAAAUGAUUUAAUAAGAAUGUUUUAAAUUUUAAUUUUUUAACAGUAAAAUUGUAACUACCGUUAGUUUUUGACACGCUUACCAUUUUUUACCGGUUAGCCGGUAGUUAGAAUUUUAUUGUCAAAAAAAUAAAGUUUAGGAUCAUUUUGUCAAAUCGUGAAUUAGGAUUUUAUUGUAAAAAACAUAAUGUUUAAGACUUUCUUGUUAAAUCAUUGAAAAUAUUGGGACUUUAAUGUAUAGUUUCAAUUUCCCUAGAAGCAAAUAAAUUUAUCAACCUCUUGAGACCCAAUUCGCAGCCUAAGAACUUUUAAUUGUGCUUUUCGUCACAACACCAUUAUUUUUCUUACAAUCAUCAUAAUUAACCUAAUACAAUUAUCACGAUCACGGGGAACAGAUACAAAAGAGAUAGCACGAGAGGGUGGGAAGACUUGUAAAGGUUUCUUAUUGGUUCGACGCCAAAUCUUAAACUGAAAAAAAGGGACAGAUUGUAGAAACACAAACAACAUACGCCUUGUCAAAAUGGUGUGAUCAAUUUGGAGAAUGGGUAAGAAGGGCAGUCUCAUCUUUUUCGUUUUCUUAAUGCUCUAUUUUUUGGACUGAAAAAAGCAACAUAACCCUAAUUCUUUCUUUCUUUCUUGAUUAUCUUCAUUUUUCUUAAUGUCGGUUUGUUUAGAUUUAAAAUACUAUUUAACAAGAAGCAAACAUUAAAGAUUUCAAUCGGAUCUAGCUGGUCAUAUUCAAAUAACACUUACGUUUAAAGAAUAUCAUACAAUUACAUUUCUUAAAAAAGGGAUAUAUACAGUAAAGUCAAAAUAUUUUCAACAAUUUGACAGUACAAUUCUUAAACUUAACAUUUUUGACAAUAAAAUCAUAAUUACCGGCUAACCGACAAAAAAAAGAUAAACGUAUAAAAAAACUGCCGAUAGUUACGAUUUUGUUUAAAACUUUGUUAUUAAAUUAGUGAAUAUAUAUCGCAUAAACAACGCUUCAAAUCGUUAUACAAAACUUUAUUCUAAAUUACUUCCUCCGUCCCAAAAUUAUAGUCCAUCUUUCCUUUUUGGUUUGUCCCAAAAUAAUGGUCCACUUCUAAAAAUAAAUAACGUUUUUACCAAAAUACCCCUUAUUAUUAAUUAACCAACUAAGCAUUUAAUGGAACAUUAAAUGCAAAGUAAGGACAAAACAGUCAUUUUAUUAAAUAAAGUUAGUGGUAAUUAAUGCUUUUCUUAAUCUGUGUGUUUUUUGUUUGUGGACAAUAAUAUUGGGACGGAGGGAGUACUUUGUACUUGAAUGAUACACAUUGUUAGAUCAUAAGUCCUUACAUUCAACGUGUGGUUGUGGAUUUUUUAUUAUGACCUCACAUCAGGACUUUAAUUUUAAUAAAUGAUAGGUUCAAUUAAUAAUCGAUGACUAUUUUUUUUUUAGAACGGCGCAAUGACGAACGGCGAAGAAAUAUAAACUCUAUUCCGAAAAACUAAAUCCAGUGAAUGCAAAUCUGUCGUUUUCGUAUGCCAAAAGAUAGAGUUAACUGUUUGUCGAUAGUAAUAGAAUGUUCGUACUAUCUAAAUAAAAUGAGAAUAUGUGCAUGAAUGAACCAGUUGUUGACACCAAUCUCCAUAUCGAUUGUCAAGCUGACAUGCACAUUCAACAAAACAUAUCCAUUCUUUCUAUAUUUAUAACUUUGUAUUAUUAGAAAUUCCACUACAAAACGCAAGUCUAAUGAAUCAACUAGUAUCCGUUUCAUUUGUCACAUUACCACUCUCAACGAUGGUUAUCUUUCACAUCCAAACAUUCUAUUUUUGCAAGUCUAAUAAAUCAAUAUGUAUCCGUUUUCUCUUUCACUUUACUGCUCUCAACGAUGCUCAUCUUCACAUCCAAACAUUCUAUUUUUAGAGAUUGAUACUGUCAUAAAAUAGUAAUGUAUUUCAUUUAUACAAUUUAGACCACUUACUAUUAUUUUGUAUAUACUAAGUUAUUGUAUUGGUUGGGUAGACAAUAUGACCAUUAAUUCGGUGCAAAGAAAGUGUUUGGAUUCCAUCAUUGUUACGACUUUUUGGGUAAAUUGGAACUUUGCGACAUAUGAUAUUUGGAAUGGUAAAUAUGAGGAAGCCUGAUUUUUUUCAUAAAAAUUUUGCACAACCUUUCUUUCAGAUUACUAAUAGCAGUAAUAAGCUUAAGAUUAAUUGGGUUGGUUGAUUGCCAUUAGAGAUUAUACAAAACAGCCCCUUUUAAAACUCUAUUGUGGGUCUUCGGGAUUUAAACUUCGGUCGCCUAUGAGAAGUCACUUACCCAAUUGAGCAACCAUAUGCUGCUUUUUCGGCCAUCUUUGUAAUGUUUUAAUAAAAUUUCUGCCCGCUCAAAAAAGAAAAAAAAAAUCAUUGGGUUUUAAUAUUUUUUGGGUAAAAUCGUUUGUUUCCUUGGACAAUUUAAUAAGUACUUUUGCUAACAUAUUAACUACGUGGCAUAUAUUGACACAUCAUUAAAUGACACCUGUUCAUUUGACGACACAAUUGUCACUGAUGGUUAUCUUCACCACCAAAACUUCUAUUUUUAGAAACAUCAUUACAAAAUUGUGGAUCCAGGUCCCUUUCGUGUGUGUGUGAAAUGUAGGACAAAGAAUAUCAUACUCUCAGCCACAAAGCCGCAAAGGUAUCUAUUGUAAGUUCGCAAUUAAUAUAAUCAAUUACGAUCCUUGUAGUAUGAAUUAAAAAUAUACCCCUCUAAGUUUUGAUAUACGUCGUGAAAACCCCAUAGGUUAUGGUGUAGUGUUAUCUUUGUUGUAGGUAGGUAGGCAUGUAAAUUUUAGACAAAAUUACAUAAAUGGUCCUUGUGGUUUACCAAAAGUCACAACUUCAGUCUUUGUUAAAUUGUUUUAGAAGAAUGGUCCUCAUGGUUUCUAAACUUACAAGAAUGGCUCUUGUGGUUUCAAAAACUCAAAGUUUACAACUUCAGUCUCCUUCCCCCAUCUUUUUCGAUUGCAGGUCCUCGUUUCUCCCCUCUUAAUUGAGUCGCAAGCACAAACAAAUUGAGAAGGAAAUACACAGCUGCUACUUCAACUACCUAAAAUAUUAAAACAAUCUCUAGAUGAAUUAAGGACAUCAGUUCCCUAUCUCUACCCGUUUUUCAGCUUUUCAAUUGUUACUUCUUUCGUUUUGUUUUUUCCUAUCAACACCAAGAAAGAAACCAUUAGUGUAAUGCCCUGUUCUGAAUCGUUACUCGUUUGGGCGUCGUUGAUGAAAUGUAGGUGUUUCGGGCGUUCAGAUUUGCUUUUGGAGCCACAGAGUAUUUUGGUAAAAUGGCAGCAGGCUUUUAUUGGAAAUUGGAUUUUGUGUUCGGGGAACUUUAUGUCAAGUGUGAGUUGAUAAUAGUGUGGCUCUUCUCGAUACCUUUUCAUGGAUAUUAGGAUGGUCGGAAUCUGAGUUGUAUGAAGGAAGUCAUGGCCUUCGAAAUGAACUAGGGUCUGGGUAAAACCCUAGUAUGCGAGGCGUACCAAGGUGGUACGCGGGGCGUAUAGCGUAGUUCGAGUUUGGGAUCGGGUGUGAGACCUUCUACACUAGGCGUAAGAAGAGUAUGUUGGGUGUACGAGGGUUAGAUUGAAACACUAAAUUUCGUAUUUGUACCCUACAUAAGCUUAAUCUUAGCCCCUUUCCUACAUUUCUAUGUCAACCUCCAUACUCUAAAAACCCUAAAUCGACCUUGGAGCCUCUUGGAGAUAUUCUUGAGCUAUUGGGAGGCUUUGAUACUCAUUUUCUCCCUUGCGAAGGAAAGAAGAGAAACUUGAAGUUCAUUUGCUUGGUGGGAAAGCUUUAGAUCCAGAACCAUCAUCUUGUGGGGAAGCUUUUUGAGGUAUCAAGUUUGCAUCUUGACUUGUAUGAUUAGAUCUCUUCAUGGCUAGUGUAUUAUGAUUUUAAUCUUCUUUUUGAGAUUAUGGAUGAGUUAGGUUGUUUAAGGGUUUAUCCUUUCACGUCUAAUCUUGUUUUGAUAUCCUUGAGCAUAAUAGUGCAAGCUUUAUGUGUAUUAUGGAGUGAUGCAUGCAUUAAAUCAACCAAUAAAUCCCUUUUAAGCUUAUGAGCUUCUUCUAGUCAUGUAUGAACGUAAAGUUGGCAACUUUACGAGGUAUUCCAAAUCAAGGAGGUUAGAUCUAUGGUUUAGAAAGCUUCGUCUUAAUGGAUUAAGUGAAAAUCAGGUUUGGGUUAAAUAAGGUAAGUACAAUGGGCGUACAAGCAGGUAUGCGUAGCAUACAAGCCUCCAAGCGAGUACGUUGCACGUACAUGUAUGUAUGCCCCGUGUACUCGGUCUAAAUGUGUUUGGGCUAUCUUCUGGGCUUGGAUUGAUUGAGGCUUGUAACACCCCAUCUUUCAAGUAACUUCAAAUUCAUACCUUGGACUUUGAAUUAUGUCAUUUUUGGCCCUUGGUUUGGAAAAAAGUGGCAAAGGGAGGCCCUAGUGACAAAUUGGUGGUCUUGGGAACUUGAGUAGUACGCUGGACGUACAUGUGAGUAUGCUAAGCGUACUAAGGCAUGCCCUAGUAUGCUGGGCGUACACAUAUUUACACUAGGCGUAUGAGUGCCAGGGUGAAACGGUAAAUUUUAGGGUUUGUGGAGUAUUUAAGCAUCUUAUGGACCAUUUCCUCUCAUCUCUUCCAGCCUCCAAGUUCUUGAGCCAUUUUGAGUAAACCCUAACCCCCAUAAUGAACAUCUUGAGCUGAUGAUGAAGUUUUGUGUAACAUCCCAAAUUUCAUAUGUUUGAGUUAAGGGCUUAAAGUGUAAAUUGAAGAAGGGACUCAACGAGUAGGUAUACUUACUCGCCGAGUCGGAGCGGGUUUCGGGUAGAAUCAACGAGUUGGUGCUGGAAUGAGAAAAACCCUAAUCUCGAGGGUUGCACCCUAUUUAAAGGACUUUAUGUCCUUCUCUCAGCCUCCUUAUUGCCCUUGAGAAUCAGAAAACCCUAAGCUCGUGUCUGUGAGGCAUUUGGAGGGAGAUUGAAGCUUUGGAAGUUGUUUCUAGUGGAAGAAACUUGAAGAUGAAAAGGUCUUGCAUCAAGAGAGUGGAGUAGAUCAAGAAUGUACUUCAGUUUGGGCACAUCUUGGAGGUAAUAAGCUGUUAAUUUCCCUCUUUUGCAUCUAGAUAUAUUCAUGAAUGAGAUUUUGGGCCCUUUUUGGUAUGUUUGAGAUCUAUUUCGGGUCUGGAGUUUAGAUCUGAGGUUGCUACUCUAGAUCUAGACUUGUGUUGGUCUAGAAUGUCAUAAAGUAUCAGUCCAAGAGUUGUUGCUAAAGCCCCUUUUUCUAAAGCCCUAGCCCUAGAGUGAUUUGGACCUUUAACUCCUUGUUUUCACGUAAAGUUUACAACUUUACGUGGGGGUUAUGCCCUAGAAGAGUGGAUGUACAGUUUGGAGCCCCUGCAUGGCUCAAAAAGCCUAUGUAUGGAUGAAUGACUGAAGAGACUCGGCGAGUUCCUUGGGUGGACUCGGCGAGUCAUUUGAAGAUGGGCAUUGACUCAACGAGUUGGAAGAACAACUCGGCUAGUCUGUUGAAGAUUGCCUCAGACUCGGCGAGUCUGUUCUUAGACUCGGUGAGUCAGGUCGUAGAACCCCAAACUCUUUUGGAUAAGCUUCGGAUCUGUGAGUCGGUUGGCGACUCAGUGAGUUGGUCAAGAAAAAAUUCUGAAAUCGUUGAACUCGACGAGUCUUGGGGCGACUCGGCGUGUUGAGUCGUGUUAUGGGAGUUUUCUGAGUAUAAGAACUCGACGAGUUGACAGGUUGACUUGGUGAGUAUAGUCAAUCAGGAAGGUUGACUUUGACUAGGACAUUGACCAAAGUUAACUUAGUUGACUUCGGGAGGACAAUUUAGUCUAAGUGUUGUUAUUGGUAUUGGUUGCUCAGGAAGCUAGAGAAGCAGCAUUUCAGAGAGUUUUCGGUUAGCAACCAGAGGGUUAUCAGCCGAGUUCAGCAGUUUAGGUGAGUUUUUCCUUCCAGUAGGAACGGGUCUAUGGCCACAAUGCCGGCCCGUCUAGUUAGCGGUAGUUUCCGGACUUCGGUCCAAUGUAGUAGUUUAGUGUGCUUGAUGUCUUUCUGAUUCAAGCAUGUUUUUAUGUUAUGUGUUUCGGACUUCAGUCCGAUGCAGUAUGAAGUAUAUGUGUUUAUGAUAGUAGUUACGAUUAUGCUAUGCUAUGUUUAGCCAGUUAGUUUGGACUUUGGUCCGAUGCAGUUUUCGGACUUCGGUCCGAGGUAGGGGCAAGGCCCCAGUUAGUCCAGACAUCAGCCCGAUGCAGUUAGCCGGACUUCGGUCCGAUGCAGUUUACGGGCUUCGGUCCGAUGUAGGGGGCAAGGCCCCAGUUAGUUCUGAUUUCGGUCCGAUGCAGUGGGCAAGGCCCAGUAUGUGCUAUAUGUGUUAUUGUAUGGUAUGUGGUAGUUUGGGGGAGCUCAAUAAGCUUUGUGCUUACAGUUUCAGUUUUGGUUUCAAGUACUUCAGCUAGCAAGGGGAAAAGCUUGGGUUGAUGGCAUGGCACGCACCACAGCUGCAAUUUUAUCCUGGGAGUUUUAUUCAUAUAUUUUGAUAUGAUAUUGACUUCAGUUUUGAAUCGAUACAUUUACUCUGGCAUUUUGAGACAUAUGAUUCAUGGUUUUAUUAUAUAACAUUUAAUAUUACGGUUUUAGUUAUAUUAAAAUAAAAAAUUUUAGUCAUGAUUUUUGGGUCGUUUCAUUUUGUGUGCAAAAAGAAGAAGUUAGUGCAUCAAAGGAGUCAAGGAAGGAAUCUAGCUUGUAGAUCUGUGGUUAUCACCAUCUUGGGAAGCUUUAGAAGGUAUAAAGCUUCUACAUUUAUGCUUGGAUUGUGUAGAUCUUUUUUUGGUUACUUUUUGGCAUUCUUCUUGUCCCAAGAAUACCAAUAUUGUGCAUGCUUUGUUUUGGUCGAGUUAAGUUGUCCUUUCAGACCCUAGGAUAGGUCCUAAGUCAUAAAAAUGAGGUCCCAUGAGCUAGUUUAGUCCUUAGUUCCUCGUAGGAGGUCUUAAUGGAUUAAGACCAUGUAGUAAGCCCUUUUUAGUUGACCAAAGUCUUAAAGUUUGAGACUUUAUGGUUCCAGAGCACAUUUGAGUUGUGGAUCUAAAAUUUAGGCUUAGGUGCUUAAGCCAUUAAGCACUUAUCAUGAUUUUGGCCUCUGCAAGGGUACCCCCCGCGUAAGGUUGCAUACACCCCGCGUUCGGAAUCAACCACCGUGUAAUUGGUCAAUGCGAGGUGAGGUACGCCAAAUGUACCGAAGGGGUAUGCCCCGCGUAUGUCCCCUGUUCGGCUUCCGAAUUUGGGCUUCAGGUAUUGGGCCAUCUGUUGGGCUAUGAUACUUCAGCCCUAAUGGUUUAUCUGGAUGGGUGUGUCUUGGGCUAAGUAGAGGAUCGGACCUUUGGAUAAGGCCCAAUAGUGAGUUGGACCCAAUUUGGAAAAUUGGGCUAAGUGUGGGCUUAAAGUUGUUUAGGCCUUCAGAUCAAGAUUUGGGUUUCGCUUGCAUUAAGUAGUGACGGACCGUCUGGGAUUUUAUGGUUUGGGCUUUCAGCAUGCUAGAUCUUCUUCAGUUAAGGCCAUUAGGCCCAAAUUGGAAAAAUCGGCCAUAAUUGGACUUAAGGAGUUUAUUUUGAUAUUGGACCUUUUUCAUCUAGUUUGGGCCUUGGCUUUGGACCAAGCUUGAGGAAGGGUAAAAAGCUAUUUUACCCUGAAUUGGACUCAUAGUAGGUUUCAGUGGCUAGAUGUUAAUGGAUUGUCAUUUUGGAAUGUGUUAGCGCAGCUGUGAUAGCGGAUAUAUAGUUAGAGAUUAUAUAUGGAAUCAACUAUUGAUGGGGGUGUUGUCCUGAUGAUGGUGGUUUGGGAUCUAACAGUCAGCGGUCAGGGAUCAUCUGUGUGCUUGACAGUGCGAGGUGAGUUUUCCUCACUGUAAUAAUAGGGUCGAAAGUGUGACAACCCGAAAUUUCCAUUCUGUGCAAACAAUAUCAAGUUAAUAGAAGUUAGAUCAGUUGCAGUAAAUUUUCAGACUUUUGGUAUAAGUUUGAGUAUUUCAAGAUUUACACUAAAAGAGAUAUCAGGAGAGAGGGUGCACUAGGGUAUCGUGCAACUCUGUUAUUCCAGAACUCUAUGAUAUUCGAGUUCACUAUCGGAAUAAAAAUAUUUUCUGCCAAAAACCCUAGGGGUAUAUAUAUGGUUCUAAGCCAUAUUUAUUCAUUUGUUACAUUUCCAACUAGAGAAAAGCCGAAUUCUCUCUCACGGAUCUUUGGACUUUCGUCCCAAAAUGUGAUUACUUCUAUCUAAGUGUGUUAUAGAGCUUGUUAUGUGUCGAAUACACUAGAAAUCAUAAGAAAACAUACUAGUUUAAAGAGUUUACGGCCUAAGAACAUCUUGGACCGUAAACCCUUCUUUAAGGGCAAAGAGUGCCCUAGUCCUUUCCUUUUGCAAUGAACUAGCUUAGACUCGUAUCCUAAUGUAUUUAGGACUAGAAAACACCCCUAGGACACCAAGAGUAAGGUGUUCACGGCCCAAGAAGUUCUUGGACCGUGAACUCCAAACAAAAGGGCCAAAGUGUGCUUUAAACUCCCCUUAAGCCUUGGACACUAGCCUAGAUUCAUUCCUAGUUAAUUUAGGGGCUUGAAAACACCAAAAACACCCUUUCCAUGAGAGAUUACGGCCAUAAUCUCUAAGGGAAGUGGUUCUAGGUCCGUAAACUCCCCAAAGGAGUUGAAAGGUGCCCUAAUCUCUUCCAAAGACCUUGCCAUUAAGUAGAAAUGCUUCUUAGGGUCUUGUAAAGCCUCAAAACAUCAAAAGAUCAAGUAAGUAUGAUCUUACGACCAUAAACCCAUGAGUUUACGACCGUAAACUCCUUUGUUGAUGACCCUAGGGCCGUGAACUCCAUUAUGGAGUUUUCCUUGAACCCAACACCCAUUAGCCUUUCCCUACAACACUUAGAUGCAAUCCUUGAGGCUUAAAACACUUGUUAAAGGUGUUUAACAUGUCCUAGGGUGUCUUGACUUUGUUUAUUAGUUGUUUACAGACUGAUUUGAUACAUAUAUGUGAUAUUAUAUGUUAACUAGGAUCAUAGAGUGUGUUCAAGACUUCACUUGACACCUAGCAAUCCUACAUCUUAAGUUCAUCCGUACCACUCACAACAGGUGUGUUCAUACCCCUUAAUUAAUGUUUUAAAUGUUUUUAAAUGUUUUAUGGGGGGGAUACAAGUAGAAUCAUGCUAGUUAUUAUAUCAAUCACAUGUUAUUAAUAAGCAGCAUUCAAAUGAUUUACUACUCAUUAACUGUUUUACCAAACAAUUUUCUUCACCUGAUUUUCAUAAACGUUUUAUAUGUUUAAAACUCCUUAUUAAACUGUUCAUUUUACACUGUAUGUUUCAUUUCAAACUCAUUUACAAUUCUGUUUCAAACAAAUGUUUCUUUAUACUUAAACUAUUUAUCAAACAGUUUUGCUUCAAACUGUUUUACAAAUUCUUGUACUUAUCAAAUACAUUUACUUAAGCUCUGUUAUAGUUAUUAUCAAUUGCAUGUCUAUGUAUGUAUAGUUAUAUAAUCAAUGUUUAAAAGGCUUAGGAAGGCCUCCCGCCUUAUUUCCUUUUCGCCGUUGAGAUGUGGUCUGGUGGGAGUAUCCGUCCGAAGGUCGUUUAAAUAUUAGUUAUGUAUCAUGUGUACAUAUAUAGUCAUAAAGGUUCUUCCAGUAAGUUCAAUACCCUUGGGUAGCAAGGGUAUACUUCCAUGUUCAUACGUACCAGUUAUAUUACUAGUAAGCUACCAUAUGGGUAGUUUAGGAAGAUACUAAUAUGUUUACUAGAAUGCGGAAUCAUACCACGAGUCAGUUCAUUCAUGAGUCUAUACAUACUAGAUAGAGAGAGAACACACAUUACAGCUAGUACACACAGUACAUUACUAUACAUGCUAGAUAGAGAGAGAACACAUGUUACAGCUAGCACACGCAUAACAUUACAGUACACUACUAUACUAUUACAUAGAUACGUUUACAUGAGUACAUUUACAUGAGUACAUUUACGUAAAUACGUUUACAUAGAGAACCUGUUAUAAGGAUGCCUAUAUAUGUAUAGUUAUAUAAGUAAUGUUUAAAGGACUUAGGAAGGCUAACCCGCUCUAUUUCCUUUUAACCGUUGGGAUGUGGUCUGGUGAGGUACCGGUAUCCGUCCGAAGGUCGUUUAAAUAUUAGUUAUAUAUCAUGUGUACAUAUAUGGACAUAAUAGUAUAUCAUGUGUACAUAUAUGGACAUAAUAGUUCCUUUCAGUCAGUUCAGUACCUUUGGGUAGCAAAGGUAUACGUUCAUAUACUUUUACAUAGAUCCUAUACGAUGAUAGGACAGACAUAACUAUGUGCUAUAGCAUGGAACGAUUUCAGGAUCUAACUAUACCAAUGAAUCACAACGCAUUGUGAUAGUUAUAUUGGGUAUACAUGAUCAUAGUAAUGUGGAUGUUCACGGCUUGCAACCAUGCAGGGGUCGUGUAUGGGUCCCAAAAUCUCUUUGACAGGGGAGUGUCUAGCUUGGGAUCUAGCCAUCACAUUAUGCCUUAUCCCUCAAAUAAGGCAAAAUAGUACAGAAGUAGUCACUUAUUACAAAUACUACAGUACUUACAAAAUUACAAUAGACUUAAGGUAGUUAGUACGGUUGUAAUUAUUUGAUACUAAACCAUAGUACUAUUUCAUUUUCCCAUUACAUUCACUUGGUGAAGAUUCACACGAUGCACGGUAAUGUAGAAGCUAUAGUUUUGGUUAAUGAUAGUCAGAUUUGGGAAAAUACACACUCUUACAGGAGACACACACAAAGACUAGAUGCCUUGGUAGAAGGCUACUCUCAGCAGGAAGUAUAGGGCUUUCUAGGAUGUUCAAAACGUUUUCAUACUUACAAUUCAUAUACAUACAAAUACUUACAUUUCAAAUACAUACAAAUACUUACAUACAAAUUAAGACACUAAAAUACUUAUGAUCUCACCAGCUUUAAAGCUGAUACUCUCUUUCAAAAUAACUUGUAUCCUCAGGUCAACAGUAGACAGGUACAAAUGCAAGGUUUAGAGAAGAUGGAGCUCGUUCAAGACUCAUCUUUCAUUUUGUUUUAUACUUUAGUGUCUAUUAUAAUUUGACAGAACACACUUGUAUUAAGAAUUAUAUUAUUAAUGCAAUGGAUGAUGUUGUUGCUUGUUUACUACUUUUCAUUGUUGUGAUACUGUACAUGACGUCCCCCGCCCCAGAACGUUUCUGUCGUUCAUGGUUUUGGAGUGUGACAGAUUGGUAUCAGAGCAUUGUUUAUAGUGAAUUAAGUAUAUCAACCCAUAAAAGAUAUACAGACUAUAAAUACAAUGGGAUUAAAAAUAUUCUGACCAAGAGUUUAUACUUUAAAUAAUAAAAUAUUUAAUUAAGUAUACGUGCCUGCAUUUAUACUAAAAUCAGUGUCACUAGGAUAGUACAAAAGAAUUACGAUUGUUGGGCAACACAUGUGGACUUAGAGACAUAUAGUCAAAACUUGGAAGAAAUAGCUUGAUCAACUAUAUUAUCCGGGGGUUGACUAGCAUGUGCCUAAGUGUAGUUGUGUGGUUGCAACAAGUCUAAAGUCUUACCAACAAUACCACAAUGAGAACAGUAGAACAUAACAUUAAACUUAAAAUACUAUAGGAGUAUUUGGUGUUACUAUAAGUACUUUAUACUUGAGAACUAAAACGGGAUCUUCAUUACUAAGUUGAUAGUUGCUAAGUGGAUACACUAAAGUUAUAUGUAACUAGGAUGUUACAGACUUAGAAUAUGUGAAAAUUUUGCUUUACCCCUAUUCUAUGUGAAUUUGGAGUUAAGGUCACUUAUUCGAAGGCCUAUCCUGUUUCGAUUACAUAUAACUGGUAUGCACUUCACAAAUAGUGAUGUAACUAAUGAAGAUUUUCUAAAUAAUUAUCUAGAUAGUUCGUCUAAUAAUUAUUUUCUUACCCCAAUUCUCAGGUAGAUAACAUGGCUGGACUCCAUCCCCACGGCAAUCAGUACCUUCCGAACAAAGUCAUUGCUGGAGGGUUUGGAGAAGAACCAGAGAAUGAUCAUCCUAUCCCUUUGGAUGAUUACCAUGAUGAAGACCUUUCAGAUGGUGCUAACCCCGAACCCGAGGUUGAGAACCUACUCCAGGAAGCUCCUUUUCCAAUUCCUAAUCCGCGUCUGGCUUUUCAUGGCCCGAUGCCUGAGUGGGUGGAAUGCUUGGAAACAUGGAGCCAAGGACAAGAUCAGCCCAUGCCAUUUAAUGGUGACCGUAGCUUUUAUGAUCUGAGCAAUGGGGGCUUAGCAGAUAGAAUCUUGCCAAUCUUGGUCCGCAGAGUGGCCCGAAAUGAGAUUCAAGGCAGGACAGCCCUACAUCGGAUCACAGAAGUUGUCGCCGAUGCCAUAAUGCAUACCCUCUGCACCAUUCGUCUAGAAGAUGCUCGUGAGAGAUCUGAGAGACACCAUGAAACCCUUCUGCAAGCACUAGCUGAAUCACGAGCCGAAGUCAUAGAACUUCGAGUACGCCAAAGGGUGUACGAAAGACACCUACUUGAUGUGGAACGCCAACUGGAUGAACUGAGAGUUCACCAGAGGGAUGACCGUCGCCAGUAGUAGAUGCUUUACUUUAUCUUCCUUGUUAAAAAGGAAUUGUUUUCUGUCUAUGCCCGAUGUGGCAUUUUCUAUGAAAAGAUCUUGACUGUAAGUACUUUAGUUAGGCCUUUAUGCUGUCAAGAACUAUCUGUUGGAAUAGUGUCUAAGGCUGCAACUAUAUUAGGCAAGUAUUUGACCCGAUUGUGCAUGGUCCUUUUGGGUUGCCUUCACCAUAGCAACUUGAUAGGAUGAUUUAUUAUGAGAGAAUAAAUAUUAUUAAUAUAUUAUGAGAAUAAUAUAAGGAAUAAUAAUAUUGUUAUUUGAUUAAUAUAAGUCAUAGAUUAAUUAGUAUUAAUUUGGUGACUUAAAGAGAUUAAUUAAAUAAGAGGGUAUAAACUGUCAAUUGUUUGAUAGUUACACUUUGGGCUGUAAAUCCUUCUUGGAUAGAGGUUGGAUGAAUUCUAGGGCUUGGGAUAUCCUCAAAUUCGUCCAAGGCUUAUCUUUGGUAAGGAUUAGGAUUGCUUUAAGGAAAGAUUAUCCAACUAGGGUUUAAGGGUGAAACCCUAGGAGCCUUACAAGUAUAAAUAGACCCCUAGGGCAAGGGAAAUUGGCAUCUCUUCUAAAGAAAAGAAACCCUGGCCGAAUCUUCCCUCUCCUCUCUCUCUCACAAAUCAUCCUCCUUGCUAGUUGGUGUUUGUAAGCCAUUAGAGGAGUGACAAUUGUGACUCUAGAGCUCCAAGACAACAAGAUCAAACAAGAGAUUCAAAGGUAAACUUCUAGAUCUGAUUUUGUAUUGUUCUUAUACCUAAUUAGUCAUUAGAAGUCUUGGAUUCAAAGCAUGUUUAAUUAGAGAAACCUAGAUCCAAGCAUUAGGGUUUGCAUGUGCACAUAGGAAUGUUCAUAUGGCCAAAACCCAUCAGUGGUAUCAGAGCCUAGAUUGGUUUCUAUUAAAUUGUUGCUUGUUUGUUUGAAUCUUGCUUGCAAAAUUCGAAUUUUGUGUUUCUGAGUCAUGGACUCGGCGAGUCCCAUAGUGGACUCGGCGAGUUGGCCUGACUCGGCGAGUCCAGUUGGACACUCGGCGAGUCUGAGCGUCAGGAAGGGCCAAAUUCGGGAUUUUUUUAUAUUUAUCUUAUGGAAACUUGCCUUUAUCAUAUUAGAUCAACCCUAAUCCGAUUUUUUGAUAUAUAUGACUAUAAUCUUGAUCUAAUUAAAGAUAUUUAUCAAUUAAUAAAAUAUUUAAUUUCCUUAUGUGAUAAUUAAUUAAUUAUUUUGAUUAAAUUGGUAAAUUAUUAUGCAAGAAAUCUUAAAUAAAUCAAAUAUGGAUAAUUAUGGAAUUAAUUGUUAAUUAAGAUUAUUUGUUAUUUGAUCCUCCAUGUUUUAAAUGUUUAAAACUUGUCCUCAAGUUUUGAAAUUUAUGUUUUGUGAUUAAAAGUUUUAAUUUAGACAAUUUAAAUUUCAAACCCUAGAUUUUAAAAGUUUAAAAUACAACCCUAUACUAAUAUAAUAUUACAAGAUUAAUAUAUAUAUAUAUAUAACUAAAAUGCUAGUCUUACCGUUAGUAGGCCUCAUUCACGAAGCCGAUCUAUAAGGUGGGUAUAAGGUUGCGGCCUAUAAAAUGGCGCUUAAUGGGUGUACACUCACACCCACCGCUUGCUUGAUUGGUGGAGGGUCGUUAGCCGAACGGGUAGGAUAGGGCAACCUCAUCCUCUCAUUAAAAGUAUAAUAUGAAAUACAAAGUAACUACACGUUUUUAAAAAAAAAUUCCCAAUCCUAGUUACUUUAGGAAAAGUGAAUUGAUGCAAUCCCAUGAAAUUACACUUUGCACCCUUGCUAAGAAGUUAGUGGAGCGUGUGUGGUUUACCGGCACACUAAUUGGUUCUAAGCAAAGGUGGCAAAGGGUGAUUCAUUGUUUAUCAUAGUUCGAUGGAGCGUGUGUGGUUUACCGGCACAUCGAAUAGGUGAUCGUUACAAUGAAGGCACCAUGUGAAUUUGCAUGGUAAUUCACACCCGCUUUGUGAUCCUCGGUAUCCCAGUCACAAACAAGAGGGGCAUAUCGAGAUUUAAACAUGCCAUUGAAUAGUUUCAAUGAAUCUCAUCCGAACCUAGGAAUUCUCAAUACAUUUAGGACUUAUAGUUAGGUUUUUAUGGUGGAGAAUUAGUGAAUCGUCAUUCACUUACCUUCAAAUUAUUUGCAUGUUAGAUUACGGCAUCCCUUUUCUAAUAUGUAAAUAUUGUUGUUGGAUCCUAGCCCUAAUUUUUCUUAUUGGGUGAUAAUUAGGGAUUCAUAUUCUAAUCUAUCUUUGUCCUUUCUAUUUGUAGAUGUCGAACGCAAACAACGCUGCUGCUAGUUCUUUCACAUUGAUGAGCCUUUGUCAAAAGGUCACUUUCGAUGGGACGAACUUUAGCGAAUGGAUAAGAUACAUUCGCACCAUUGCUCGCUAUGAGGAUAAGGAGUAUGUCCUCGAUGAGAAGCUCGAGAAAAUCAACCCUGAAAUCGCUACUCCGGCUGAAAUGACCGCUUUUGAAACUCAUGAGCGCGAUGCAACGAAGGUACAUUGCAUCAUGAUAGCCACCAUGAACUCCGAAUUCCAAAAGUCCUAUGAGGACAUGUACCCGUACGAGAUGCAUCAAGACUUAUUGGAGAGAUACCACCAAAACGCGAGACAAGAGCGUUAUGAGAUUUUCACUAACAUGAUUUCCGCUAAGAUGGGUCAUGGAGAGUCUCUUACCGUGCACCUGCAAAAGAUGCAAAGGUAUGUCGACCGCCUUCGCAAGUUAAAUGUUGACUUUGGGGAAGACUUGGCGAUCGACAUGGUGCUUCACUCUUUGCCUCCGAUGUACAAUCAAUUUAGGAUGACCUACCACAUGAACAAAGAGGAGGUCACCCUAAGCAAACUCCAAGGUCUCUUGAGGGUCGCUGAGAGCAACUUCAAGGACAAGUCUGUUGCACCAACUCCCAAUCCGCCCGCUGCUCCUGUCUUGGCUAUUGGACAAGGAAAGGGAAAGAAGAGGAAGGCUUCGUCUAAGAACUAUCGCAAGGUUAAAGCCCGAGAUGGUGCCUCUUCUAGUGGGACCAAAGUUGAUCCUGCUAAGCCCUGCCCUAACCCAAAGGAGGCAGAGUGCCACCACUGCCACAAGAUAGGACAUUGGAAGAGAAGCUGCCCAGAGUACCUGCAAGCCAUCAAGGAAGGAAAGAUCAAGCCGUCUUUCGCAGGUAUAUACACAAUUAAAUCUAACGAUUCUAAUCAUGCUAUUUCUUGGGUUCUUGAUACCGGUUGUGGUUACCACAUUUGUUCUAAUGUGCAGGGACUAAGAAGAAGUAGGGAUGUGGAGCAAGGAAGGAUCAAUCUAAUCAUGGGGAACAGAAGAUCGUCGCCUGUGACCAAGAUUGGAGUGUAUUCUUUAGUGCUUAGGAAUAGUUUAGUUUUAGAUUUGAACAAUUGUUGCUAUUCGCCAGAAAUGGCUAGAAACAUCAUUUCAUUUCAUGGUUUAUAUAGACAAGGAUUUAGAUUUUCUUUUAAUAAUGAGAAUGGUUCUAUUUUGGCUUAUCUAAAUGGUGUCUUUUACUUUGAAGCUAUACCAUGUAAUGGAAUAUAUGAAACUGUUAUGAUUGUUGAUAACUUAGGAAAUGAUGUUUUGAAUAUUGAUUCUUCCACUAGUAUGGAUAAAGCAUCCUUGUGGCAUUGUCGUCUUGGACAUGUCAACAAGAAACGCAUAGCCCAACUCCAAAAGGAUGGAGUGUUGGAGUCAUUCGACCUUAGGGAAGAUGACACAUGCGAGUCUUGUUUGCUUGGAAAGAUGACUAAGUCACCCUUCACGAGUACAUGUGAAAGGGGCGAGGGUCUAUUGGACCUAAUACAUACCGAUGUAUGUGGACCGUUUAGAUCAACCACGAAGGAUGGGAACCGCUUCUAUGUGACUUUUACCGAUGACUAUAGUAGAUAUGGGUAUAUCUACUUAAUCAAGCAAAAGUCAGACACCUUUGAAAAGUUCAAAGAGUUCAAGAAUGAAGUGGAGAAUCAAUUGGGCAGGAAAAUCAAGAUGCUUCGAUCCGAUCGAGGAGGAGAGUACCUAAGUCUUGAAUUCCACGAUUAUCUCAAGGAGUGUGGAAUAGUUUCACAAUUGACGCCUCCUAGGACACCGCAGUUGAAUGGUGUGGCAGAAAGGCGUAAUCGAACCUUAUUGGAUAUGGUUCGCUCUAUGAUGAGUCGUGCUUCACUACCUAUCUCUUUUUGGGGGUAUGCCUUAGAGACUGCCGCCCAUAUCCUUAACCGAGUCCCUACUAAGAAGGUUGCCAAAACACCUCACGAGAUGUGGACAGGGAAAGCUCCCUCGUUGGCACAUAUCAAGGUUUGGGGUUGCGAGGCUUUCGUAAGACGAGAUACUCACGACAAGCUUGAACCUCGAAGUGAGCGAUGUAUUUUCAUCGGCUACCCGCAGACAUCCUUUGGAUAUCUCUUCUAUAGACCGAAGGACAAUGUUGUCUUCGUUGCGAGGAGAGGAGUUUUCCGAGAGCGAGAACUCAUAAGCCAAGGAGACAGUGGGAGGCAAAUCGAACUUGAAGAGAUUCAAGAGUCGAUAGAUGAAGGAACCUCUACCGCUGGCACUCAACCCGAGGAGGAAACUCCGGUUGAACCGAUUGACGAAUCCUUACCUCUUAGACGUUCCGAUAGAGUUAGAGUUCUUCCCCAGUUUUAUGGUUUUCAUAUUACUACCGAAGGGGACACGUAUAUUAGUGAUGGUACACUAGUAAAUCUUGAUGAACCUAAUAGCUAUAAGGAAGCCAUGGCAGGCCCGGAGUCUGCAAAAUGGAAAGAGGCAAUGGAUAGCGAGAUCCAAUCCAUGUAUGAUAACCAAGUUUGGAAUUUGGUUGAUUAUGUGCCCGGACGUAAGACCGUUGGGUGCAAAUGGAUCUUCAAGAAGAAGACCGACGUGGAUGGAAACGUACACACAUAUAAAGCGCGAUUGGUUGCGAAGGGCUUUACUCAAACUCCCGGAGUUGACUAUGAUGAGACCUUCUCACCAGUUGCGAAGAUUAAAUCUAUUAGAGUGAUGCUAGCUAUUGCCGCAUUUCAUGAUUAUGAGAUUUGGCAAAUGGAUGUCAAGACCGCUUUCCUUAACGGAAAGUUGGCUGAGGAUGUUUACAUGGCUCAGCCAGAGGGGUUUGUGGAUCCGAAGCAUCCGGAUAGAGUGUGUAAGCUUGAGAAGUCCAUUUAUGGACUUAAGCAAGCGUCUCGCAGAUGGAAUCUUUGCUUCGAUGAGAAAGUCAAAGAGUUUGGAUUUGUACGAAGCGAAGACGAAUCUUGUGUAUAUGUCAAAGCCAGUGGGAGUAUAGUAAGCUUCCUCGUUCUAUAUGUCGAUGACAUAUUACUCAUAGGAAACGACAUCCCGACUCUGCAGGAGGUUAAGUCCUGGCUCGGGAAGUGCUUCGCUAUGAAGGACCUCGGAGAGGCUUCUUACAUUUUGGGAAUAAGGAUAGUAAGAGAAAGAAGUAAGAGACUAAUUGGACUUAGUCAGAAUACUUACUUAGAGAAGGUACUAAAACGUUUUAGUAUGGAAAACUCAAAGAAGGGAGAACUACCGAUACAAAGUAAUGCCAAAUUGAGUAAGACUCAAAGUCCGAGUACCGAAGCUGAGAUAGCAGAAAUGAGCCGAGUACCAUACGCUUCCGCAGUUGGCUCAAUCAUGUACGCUAUGACUUGUACUCGCCCUGAUGUAGCCUUCGCUUUGAGCAUGGUUAGCAGAUAUCAAGGGAAUCCUGGCAAAGCACAUUGGAUUGCGGUGAAGAAUAUCCUUAAGUACCUUCGGAGGACGAAGGAAUGGUUCUUAGUCCUCGGAGGGAGUGAUGACUUGAAGGUGCGAGGGUAUAGUGACGCCAGUUUUCAGACCGACAGGGACAACUACCGUUCGCAGUCGGGCUGGGUCUUUACCCUAAAUGGAGGAGCAGUGACAUGGAAGAGUUCCAAGCAGGAAACCGUAGCUGAUUCAACGUGCGAAUCAGAGUACAUUGCAGCGAGCGAAGCGUCGAAGGAGGCAAUAUGGCUAAAGAACUUCAUCGGUGAUCUUGGAGUUGUACCUGCCAUAAAGGAGCCCAUGGAGAUAUUCUGUGAUAAUGAAGGAGCGGUUGCCUUGACCAAGGAACCGAGGGAUCAUGGUAGAUCAAGACAUAUCGACAGAAAAUAUCACUUUAUUAGACAUCGUGUAGAAGAAGGACAACUCGUAGUGAAGAGGAUAUCAUCAGAAGAUAACCCAGCAGAUCCGCUUACGAAGGGACUGAGUAGGGUUAAGCACUUGCAGCAUGCUAGGAGUAUUGGGCUGAAAUGAAGGAUGAUAUUAGCAUAUAUUCGAUAGUAUUAGAGUAAUAGAUAAAUGUAAUUAACAUUUGAUGAUUAAAUAAAGGAGUUUUAUUUAUGAGUAAUGUUACUGUCUUAUGUUAAUUGUUUAACUAUUGUUUCAUUUUGCAUGUUUUGACUUCCAGAAUAAUUGAGUUUAUUAAGAAUAAUCGAAUUAUUCAAAUUGUCCACAAUCGUUCAUAUGUUGGAAGUAGAUAUGAAUGAAGAUUGUCGUGAAUUGGUGCGUAGAAUUGUAUAAAUGGUAUUAGACAUAGCAAAAGCUUGUUGUGACGUUCAUGAGUGCUUAUGAACUGGUUUUGAGCAUUGGAACAAACCCGUGCUUGCUGGAAUCACCUUAUGGAAUAUGAUGUAAAAGGAUGAUCGCAAGACGAUAAUAUCAUAUAGUCUUAAAACCUAGAUAUAUGGUUUGUUAUUUGUUAAUUGAUUGUACAUUGAUAAUGCGAAAACGCAUCAGUAACUCGGUGUUAUAAAACGCAUUGUUGUGUAUAGUUGGUUAAUGAAUAAGUAAAUGCAUAUAAGUCGAAGUUUAUCUGUAACUUUUACCUAAGAAGGUAAAAGCGAUAUCUCGGCCGCUCGAUGAUUUGAUUUGACUUAUGUGCCGGGCCCGGUCAGAACUGAAUUGAUGUGUUCGAUUAAGUUCUAUGUCAAAUAAAUCAGAGAUCGAGAAACCUAAAUGCUUGACUAAUUAUUCCAUAGAAUUGUCAGCAUGAUAUCUAACAGAGGACUGUACGAUCCCUUAUCUAAAGGACAAGAUUGAUUAGAUCAGAGUUUGACAGCGUCUUUGAGAGCUACGAUUGCAAAUCGAAUUGUACUUGUGCAUAUAGUUACUAGACUUAUCCAAGUGGGAGACUGUUGGAAUAGUGUCUAAGGCUGCAACUAUAUUAGGCAAGUAUUUGACCCGAUUGUGCAUGGUCCUUUUGGGUUGCCUUCACCAUAGCAACUUGAUAGGAUGAUUUAUUAUGAGAGAAUAAAUAUUAUUAAUAUAUUAUGAGAAUAAUAUAAGGAAUAAUAAUAUU